CAUCUAGUCUAGGCAGCAAAAAUCAUGCUAAGAUGUGUACGACACAGUUACACUACAUCCAUACCUGGUCCUAAGUUAAGGGUUUAAGUAAAAAGGGCAUUUUCAAUAAAUCAAAGUAAAGCAGAUGAGCCUAAAAAGGAAACUCAUGUACUGCAAUUCCGGCACCUCGCCGCAAAAUCCAAAAUUCCCGUUUGCUACCCGGCUUGUAGCAGGAAAAAGGAGUAGAAUUGAACUUGUCGAUACACACGUAAUCAUGUGAGCUGCCUAGCGUUUGGAGACUAUGUUGGCUCUCUUGUAAAAUUAAUCUUGGCUGAAUUGGAUUCUUAGGCAUUGGCGUCUUGGUGAGUUAAGCUGCAGUUUCCGACGAGUAACAUUGGUUAGUGAACUCUUGUGUGUAUGUGUGGGUGAAGCUUUGAGCUAAGCAAGUCCUCAAUGUACCGACUAUCAAGUCAUAUUGUAAUCAAUAUCAGAUAUGAAUGAAAAAUUGUUGGCCUGAAUUUGUGCAGAGCAUUUGAGUAAUCUUUUUGCAUCGAUUUAUUCUUGUAUGCUUCUAUGGCUUCUUAAAACAUUCCGGCGUUCUGGUUGGAAAAGUGUUGUACCCGAGGUACGAUCCAAUGGAUUGACCUCUGAUGUCACAAUACUUCCUUAGUGGUGAUGCAGAUAACCAUGUUUGGAACAGUUAUCAGCUAGAAGAUUUUUUGGUUUGAGAUACAGCAAUCUACCUGUCAAGAAUGUGAACUCUUGUGUGUGUAUGUGUUGGUGAAGCCUUGAGCUAAGCAAGCCCUCAAUGUACCAAAUAUCAAGUUGUAGUGUAAUCAAUUUCAGAUAUGAAUGAAAAAUUGUUAGCCUGAAUUUGUGCAGAGCAUUUGAGUAACUUUCUGUAUAUGUUUGUUGUAGAAGAUUUGUUGGUUUGAGAAUGUGGAAAAGUUUGCAUCAUAGUGCUGCUAUCUGACAAAUAGGUUUGGCUUUUCUCAGAUCAUGUUAGCUUUCCACUUGGAUUACAUUUUCAGACUCCCUGCUCUUGCACCACUGGGCAUGUGAACUGGCAUGUUCAUCGCUCCAAGUAUCUAUCUCGUGACACUAUCAUCGGUCAUGUUAUUGGUCUCCUCAUUUCUUUCUUGAGUAUUCCUUCCCACAUCAACUCAUCCAGCGCUGGAUCUGGUUGGUCAAUUUUAAGGUUACUCAAAAUUCUCAUGUCGAACCAGCAACUGAUAGUAUGUCACAUGGCAAACCAAUUUAGAUUAUCAUCAGCAAGAUCCUCUGUAAAAGUUAUCCAGUAGUCCAUUGUUUAUCUGCAUUUCAGAGAACACGGUGGUUCAGUACGUUGUUGAUCUCAUUGUCAUUGCCGUUUAUCCUUGCUCACCAAAAGACAAUUCCGUGCUACUGUUGCAUGUGUAAUGCAUAUGGUGAAGCUUCUCCCAUCGUCAACUCUGCUGCAUUUUUUCUGCGGAGUGCUGGAUGGUGAAACAUAACAUCACGGUCUCCAAGCUCUUUCUGAACUUCUUUUAGGUCUCCAAACAAACUGUCCUGAACUCUGAUGUGCAGUUGUUUUUAUUCCUUGAGAGCGUGAGAUUCUACAAAUUAGUAGGCAUUAGAAUUUAUAUUUUCUUAUGUGAGUUUGUACAAAUUAGGAAAGAUGUCAAAUUAAAGAGCCGUGCUGGAAAAAAAAAUCGAAGUGCAAAAAUACAUAUAAAAUAGAAUUACUGAAAGGCCUAGACACAGGAACGUGGAAAACAAAAGUCAACAAAUGAAAUUCUUGACAAAAGCUAUAAUGGGUGUCGAUGACCAAAAAAAUGCUACAAUGGGCGUGGAAUACCUCGAGAAAAUCAUCGAAUUCUGCUUGCAUUUUAGGAGCUUUGCUGCCCGAAGCUUCACGAAACAAGCGACCCAGGACAAAAACGCCCACAGCAGUGAACACAAGUAGCUCAAGAAAUAAUGCAGAUAAAAGGGCAGGUACAUAUUUCCAAAGCUGUUUUUGGCAUAUGCACCACCACAGUGACCAUCAUACAUGAAUAGAGAUCCUGAAUGCUCAGUAUAGACUCUAGUUUUAGUUCCCAAAAGGAAAUGACGAAUUAGAUAUACCUCAAUGGUAGCUAAUCCAUGUGACACAAUCUCAACCAUCCGAGAUCUUGUCUGCAAUCACACAGGUCGGGUCACAGUAAAAAUUCUAGAGUUAAUAUUCCAUUUACUAAAUGGGAAUAAGAGACCCUAAAUGAGCCAGAACCACUGUUACUAAAAUAUCUUCUGUAUAGUUGGUUCAUUAACAUAUUUUCAUCAAGAACAACUACAUACGUUUAUAUUAAUCAAACCCAUCAAGGUCUAUACAGCUACAUUGUCAUAUUGUCAGAAAUGCUAUGGAAAGCUAGCAAAGUGAGCAAUACUGAUUUAAAAAAGUUGGAAACUAGGAUCCUUUUCUCUUUUAGCAUUGCGGUAGAUUAUGAUAAUUCCAUUGAGCCGCUUUUACAUAUUCAUUUAUUUUGUUUGUUGUGUUCCAAAUCAUACGAGGACAAUCACUGGAAAACUGAAUUUAUCUAUUGAUCAGAUUUACUAAAAGGAGUAAUAGACUUACUGGAAACAGCGAAAAAGGUCUCUAAUCAUGAUGUUCAAGGUCUCUACAGCUACAAUGCAGAAUUAUUCACAAGUAUCCAGUGGAGUGCAUGGAUUACUCUGGAAAAAACUCUGUUUCGGCACAGUGCAAUAGAAACCUAGAAAAAAAAGAGCAAUACUGAUUUAGGAAGUUAGAAACUAGGCUCAUUUUACUCUUUUAGCAUUACGGUAGAUUAUGAAGUUCCGCCGAACACUUUAGAUAGUCGUAUGUUCCGUUUAUCGUGUUCCAACACUAUAUGAGAGCAAUCACUGGAAAACAGCCGACCCGCAGCUCCAGCGCUCGUGACUCUCCGCUAGGGUUUUCCUCCGCCGCCGCCGACCCCUCCCGCCGCCGCCGGCCGCCGGGCGCGCGUAGGGGCGGGCACGGUUAAACCGAAAACCGAAAAACCAACCGAACUGUAUUAACCGAUAUGUCGGUUAAUUCGGUGGUUUGGUUUUUGGUUCGGUGGGAAAUUUUAAGGUUGUUCGGUGUUUGGUUUGUGUUCGGUUUUCAGUGCCUAGAAACCGAAUAGACUGAACAAACCGAUAUGUAGGAUGCCCCGUCUAAUACCAUGUUCACUCCAUCAUGCGAAGGUCUCUCCAAAAGGUAAAUUAGGCGGGGACGGAGGGAGUACCAGUGUACCAUUUAGUGCAUGAGCUGCUCAAUUUAGAGGCAUCAUGUGUAUUCUUCCGUAUAUGAUACAUGGCACGUUCGAUGUGAUUUUUCCACUUAAUUAUGUUCACUAGUUUGCUUGACCGAAUAAAACAUUGCCUGAUGUUAAGGUUGCUAGCUCUUGUGACUGUUUUUUGCAUUCUACACAAUGCAAAUUAGCGCUCAUGAAUCAUUACACUUAUACUGACGAGUGCAUGUCUUUCGGUUUUUUGGUUAACCGAAGAAAGCAAACCGAUAUAUUAUGGUUAAUAUGGUUCGGUUUCUUAAUUUUGUGUGAUUGUUUCGGUUUCCAUUUCUUCAAAACCGAAAUUAUUAAAAACCGAAUAAACCGAACCGUAUUAACCAUAUAAACCGAACACCCAGUCCUAGGCGCGCGCCUCCCGGCCCCUCCCGCGCCCCCUCCACCUCCCCCCUCCCGGUCCCGCCCCUGCGCCGCCUCCCCGGGAGGUGGCCGGGGCGGCGCUGUUGGAGAACGUAGUAAUUUCAAAAAAAUUCCUACCCACACGCAAGAUCAUGGUGAUGCAUAGCAACAAGAGGAGAGAGUGUUGUCCACGUACCCUCGUAGACCAAAAGCGAAAGCGUUAGCACAACGCGGUUGAUGUAGUCGUACGUCUUCAUGAUCCGACCGAUCAAGUACCGAACGUACGGCACCUCCGAGUUCGCACACGUUCAGCUCGAUGACGUCCCUCAAACUCCGAUCCAGCCGAGCUUUGAGGGAGAGUUCCGUCAGCACGACGGUGUGGUGACGAUGAUGAUGUUCUACUGACACAGGGCUUCGCCUAAGCACCGCUACGAUAUUAUCGAGGUGGAUUAUGGUGGAGGGGGGCACCGCACACAGCCAAGAGAUCCAAGGGAUCAAUUGUUGUGUCUCCAAGGGGUGCCUCCCUCCCCGUAUAUAAAGGAGUGGAGGAGGGGGAGGGGGCCGGCCACCCUAGGCGCGCCCCAUGAGGAGUCCUACUCCCACCGGGAGUAGGACCCCCCCUUCCAAGUGGGAGUAGCAGAGGAGAGGGAAGGAGAGAGAGGGGGAAAGGAAAGGGGGGUGCCGCCCCCCUCCUUGUCCAAUUCGGACUAGGGGGAAGGGGGCGCGCGACUGCCCUUGUCCGCCCCUCCUCUUCUCCACUAGGGCCCAAUAGGCCCAUUAGUCUCCCCGGGGGGUUCCGGUAACCCCCCGGUACUCCGGUAUAUGCCCGAUACUCCCCAAAACCAUUCCAGUGUCUGAACACAGUCGUCCAAUAUAUCAAUCUUUAUGUCUCGACCAUUUUGAGACUCCUCGUCAUGUCCAUGAUCACAUCCAGGACUCCGAACUACCUUCGGUACAUCAAAACAUAUAAACUCAUAAUAUAACCGUCAUCUAACUUUAAGCGUGCGGACCCUACGGGUUCGAGAACUAUGUAGACAUGACCGAGACACGUCUCCGGUCAAUAACCAAUAGCGGAACCUGGAUGCUCAUAUUGGCUCCCACAUAUUCUACGAAGAUCUUUAUCGGUCAAACCGCAUAACAACAUACGUUGUUCCCUUUGUCAUCGGUAUGUUACUUGCCCGAGAUUCGAUCGUCGGUAUCUCAAUACCUAGUUCAAUCUUGUUACCGGCAAGUCUCUUUACUUGUUACGUAAUGCAUCAUCCCGUAACUAACUCAUUAGCUACAUUGCUUGCCAGGCUUAUAGUGACGUGCAUUACCGAGAGGGCCUAGAGAUACCUCUCCGACAAUCGGAGUGACAAAUCCUAAUCUUGAAAUACGUCAACUCAACAAGUACCUUCGGAGACACCAGUAGAGCACCUUUAUAAUCACCCAGUUGCGUUGUGACCGUUUGGUAGCACACAAAGUGUUCCUCCGGUAAGCGGGAGUUACAUAAUCUCAUAGUCAUAGGAACAUGUAUAAGUCAUGAAAAAAGCAAUAGCAACAUACUAAACGAUCAAGUGCUAAGCUAACGAAAUGGGUCAAGUCAAUCACAUCAUUCUCCUAAUGAUGUGAUCCCACUGAUCAAAUGAUAACUCAUAUCUAUGGUUGGGAAACUCAACCAUCUUUGAUCAAUGAGCUAGUCAAGUAGAGGCAUACCAGUGACACUAUGUUUGUCUAUGUAUUCACACAUGUAUUAUGUUUCCAGUUAAUACAAUUCUAGCAUGAAUAAUAAACAUUUAUCAUGAUACGAGGAAAUAAACAAUAACUUUAUUAUUGCCUCUAGGGCAUAUUUCCUUCAGUCUCCCACUUGCACUAGAGUCAAUAAUCUAGAUUACAUAGUAAUGAUUCUAACACCCAUGGAGCCUUGGUGCUGAUCAUGUUUUGCUCGUGGAAGAGCCUUAGUCAACGGGUCUGCAACAUUUAGAUCCGUAUGUAUCUUGCAAAUCUCUAUGUCUCCCACCUGGACUUGGUCUCGGAUGGAAUUGAAGCGUGUCUUGAUGUGCUUGGUUCUCUUGUGAAAUCUGGAUUCCUUUGCCAAGGCAAUUGCACCAGUAUUGUCACAAAAGAUUUUCAUUGGACCGAUGCACUAGGUAUGCCACCUAGAUCGGAUAUGAACUCCUUCAUCCAGACUCCUUCAUUUGCUGCUUCCGAAGCAGCUAUGUACUCCGCUUCACAUGUAGAUCCCGCCACGACGCUUUGUUUAGAACUGCACCAACUGAUAGCUCCACCGUUCAAUAUAAACACGUAUCCGGUUUGCGAUUUAGAAUCGUCCAGAUCAGUGUCAAAGCUUGCAUCGACGUAACCAUUUACGACUAGCUCUUUGUCACCUCCAUAAACGAGAAACAUAUCCUUAGUCCUUUUCAGGUAUUUCAGGAUGUUCUUGACCGCUGUCCAGUGAUCCACUCCUGGAUUACUUUGGUACCUCCCUGCUAAACUAAUAGCAAGGCACACAUCCGGUCUGGUACACAACAUUGCAUACAUAAUAGAGCCUAUGGCUGAAGCAUGGGGAACAUCUUUCAUUUUCUCUCUAUCUUCUGUAGUGAUCGGGCAUUGAGUCUGACUCAAUUUCACACCUUGUAUUACAGGCAAGAACCCUUUUUUUGCUUGAUCCAUUUUGAACCUUUUCAAAACUUUAUCAAGGUAUGUACUUUGUGAAAGUCCAAUUAAGCGUCUUGAUCUAUCUCUAUAGAUCUUGAUUCCCAAUAUAUAAGCAGCUCCACCGAGGUCUUUCAUUGAAAAACUUUUAUUCAAGUAUCCUUUUAUGCUACCCAGAAAUUCUAUAUCAUUUCCAAUCAACAAUAUGUCGUCCACAUAUAAUAUUAGAAAUGCUACAGAGCUCCCACUCACUUAAUACAGGCUUCUCCAAAAGUCUAUAUAAAACCAUAUCCUUUGAUCACACUAUCAAAGCGUUUAUUCCAACUCUGAGAGGCUUGCACCAGUCCAUAAAUGGAUCGCUGGAGCUUGCACACUUUGUUAACACUUUUUGAAUCGACAAAACCUUCUAGUUGCAUCAUAUACAACUCUUCUUCCAGAAAUCCAUUCAGGAAUGCAGUUUUGACAUCCAUUUGCCAAAUUUCAUAAUCAUAAAAUGCGGCAAUUGCUAACAUGAUUCGGACAGACUUAAGCAUCGCUACGGUUGAGAAAGUCUCAUCGUAGUCAACCCCUUGAACUUGUCGAAAACCUUUCGCAACAAGUCGAUCUUUGUAGACAGUAACAUUACCAUCAGCGUCAGUAUUCUUCUUGAAGAUCCAUUAAUUCUCGAUGGCUUGCCGAUCAUCAAGCAAGUCAACCAAAGUCCAUACUUUGUUCUCAUACAUGGAUCCCAUCUCAGAUUUCAUGGCCUCAAGCCAUUUUGCGGAAUCUGGGCUCAUCAUCGCUUCCUCAUAGUUCGUAGGUUCGCCAUGGUCAAGUAACAUGACCUCCAGAAUAGGAUUACCGUACCACUCUAGGGCGGAUCUUACUCUGAUUGACCUACGAGGUUCGGUAGUAACUUGAUCUGAAGCUUCAUGAUUAAUAUCAUUAGCUUCCUCACUAAUUGGUGUAGCCGUCACAGGAGCCGGUUUCUGUGAUGAACUAUUUUCCAAUAAAGGAGCAGGUACAAUUAUCUCAUCAAGUUGUACUUUCCUCCCACUCACUUCUUUCGAGAGAAACUCCUUCUCUAGAAAGGAUCCAUUCUUGGCAACGAAUGUCUUGCCUUCGGAUCUGUGAUAGAAGGUGUACCCAAUAGUUUCCUUUGGGUAUCCUAUGAAGACACAUUUCUCCAAUUUGGGUUCGAGCUUAUCAGGUUGAAGCUUUUUCACAUAAGCAUCGCAGCCCCAAACUUUAAGAAAUGACAACUUUGGUUUCUUGCCAAACCAUAGUUCAUAAGGCGUCGUCUCAACGGAUUUUGAUGGUGCCCUAUUUAACGUGAAUGCAGCCGUCUCUAAAGCAUAACCCCAAAAUGAUAGCGGUAAAUCAGUAAGAGACAUCAUAGAUCGCACCAUAUCUAGUAAAGUACGAUUACGACGUCUGGACACACCAUUACGCUGUGGUGUUCCGGGUGGCGUGAGUUGCAAAACUAUUCCGCAUUGUUUCAAAUGUAGACCAAACUCGUAACUCAAAUAUUCUCCUCCAUGUUCAGACCGUAGAAACUUUAUUUUCUUGUUACGAUAAUUUUCAACUUCAUUUUGAAAUUCUUUGAACUUUUCAAAUGUUUCAGACUUAUGUUUCAUAAGUAGAUAUACCCAUAUCUGCUUAAAUCAUCUGUCAAGGUGAGAAAAUAACGAUACCCGCCGCGAGCCUCAACAUUCAUUGGACCACAUACAUCAGUAUGUAUGAUCUCCAACAAAUCAGUUGCUCGCUCCAUAGUUCGUAGAACGGCGUUUUUGUCAUCUUGCCCAUGAGGCAUGGUUCGCAAGUACCAAGUGAUUCAUAAUCAAGUGAUUCCAAAAGUCCAUCAGUAUGGAGUUUGUUCAUGCGCUUUACACCGAUAUGACCUAAACGGCAAUGCCACAAAUAAGUUGCACUAUCAUUAUCAACUCUGCAUCUUUUGGCUUCAACAUUAUGAAUAUGUGUAUCACUACUAUCGAGAUUCAAUAAAAAUAGACCACUCUUCAAGGGUGCAUGACCAUAAAAGAUAUUACUCAUAUAAAUAGAACAACCAUUAUUCUCUGAUUUAAAUGAAUAACCGCCUCGCAUCAAACAAGAUCCAGAUAUAAUGUUGAUGCUCAACGCCGGCACCAAAUAACAAUUAUUUAGGUCUAAAACUAAUCCCAAUGGUAGAUGUAGAGGUAGCGUGCCGACCGCGAUCACAUCGACUUUGGAACCAUUUCCCACGCGCAUCGUCACCUUGUCCUUAGCCAAUGCUCACUUAAUUCGUAGUCCCUGUUUUGAGUUGCAAAUAUUAGCAACAGAACCAGUAUCAAAUACCCAGGUGCUACUACAAGCUCUGGUAAGGUACACAUCAAUAACCUGUAUAUCACAUAUACCUUUGUUCACCUUGCCAUCCUUCUUAUCCGCCAAAUACUUGGGGCAAUUCCGCUUCCAGUGACCAGUGUGCUUGCAGUAGAAGCACUCAGUCUCAGGCUUAGGUCCAGACUUGGGUUUCUUCUCUUGAUCAGCAACUUGUUUGCUGUUCUUUUUGAAGUUCCCCUUCUUCUUCCCUUUGCCCUUUUUUCUUGAAACUGGUGGUCUUAUUGACCAUCAACACUUGAUGCUCCUUCUUGAUUUCUACCUCCGCAACCUUUAGCAUUGCGAAGAGCUCGGGAAUUGUCUUAUCCAUCCCUUGCAUGUUAUAGUUCAUCACGAAGCUCUUGUAGCUUGGUGGCAGUGAUUGAAGAAUUCUGUCAACGACACUAUCAUCAGGAAGAUUAACUCCUAGUUGAAUCAAGUGAUUGCAAUACCCAGACAUUUUGAGUAUAUGUUCACUGACAGAACUAUUCUCCUCCAUCUUGCAGCUGUAGAACUUAUUGGAGACUUCAUAUCUCUCAAUCCGGGCAUUUGCUUGAAAUAUUAACUUCAACUACUGGAACAUCUCAUAUGCUCCAUGACACUCAAAACGUCGUUCAAGUCCCGGUUCUAAGCCGUAAAGCAUGGCACACUGAACUAUAGAGUAGUCAUCAACACGCAACUGCCAGGCAUUCACAAUGUCUGCAGUAGCUGGCGCAGGUGAUACACCUAGCGGUGCUUCCAGGACGUAACUCUUCUAUGCAGCAAUGAGGAUAAUCCUCAAGUUACGGACCCAGUCCGUGUAAUUGCUACCAUCAUCUUUCAACUUUGCUUUCUCAAGGAACACAUUAAAAUUCAAUGGAACAACAGCAUGAGCCAUCUAUCUACAACAACAUGGACAUGCAAAAUACUAUCAGGUACUAAGUUCAUGAUAAAUUUAAGUUCAAUUAAUCAUAUUACUUAAGAACUCCCACUUAGAUAGACAUCCCUCUGAUCAUCUAAGUGAUCACGUGAUCCAAAUCAACUAAACCAUAACCGAUCAUCACGUGAAAUGGAGUAGUUUUCAAUGGUGAACAUCACUAUGUUGAUCAUAUCUACUAUAUGAUUCACGCUCGACAUUUCGGUCUCAGUGUUCCGAGGCCAUAUCUGCAUAUGCUAGGCUCGUCAAGUUUAACCUGAGUAUUCUGCGUGUGCAAAACUGGCUUGCACCCAUUGUAGAUGGACGUAGAGCUUAUCACACCUGAUCAUCACGUGGUGUCUGGGCAUGACGAACUUUGGCAACGGUGCAUACUCAAGGAGAACACUUUUAUCUUGAAAUUUAGUGAGAGAUCAUCUUAUAAUGCUGCCGUUAAUCAAAGCAAGAUAAGAUGCAUGAAAGAUAAACAUCACAUGCAAUCAAUAUAAGUGAUAUAUAUGGCCAUCAUCAUCUUGUGCUUGUGAUCUCCAUCUCCGAAGCACCGUCAUGAUCACCAUCGUCACUGGCGCGACACCUUGAUCUCCAUCAUAGCAUCGUUGUCGUCUCGCCAACUAUUGCUUCUAUGACUAUCGCUACCGCUUAGUGAUAAAGUAAAGCAAUUACAGGGCAAUUGCAUUGCAUACAAUAAAGCGACAACCAUAUGGCUCCUGCCAGUUGCCGAUAACUCGGUUACAAAACAUGAUCAUCUCAUACAAUAAAAUAUAGCAUCACGUCUUGACCAUAUCACAUCACAACAUGCCCUGCAAAAACAAGUUAGACGUCCUCUACUUUGUUGUUGCAAGUUUUACGUGGCUGCUAUGGGCUGAGCAAGAACCGUUCUUACCUACGUAUCACAAUGAUAGUUCGUCAAGUUAGUGCUGUUUUAACCUUCUCAAGGACCGGGCGUAGCCACACUCGGUUCAACUAAAAGAAACUUACACCCGCUAGUCACCUGUGUGCAAAGCACAGCGGUAAAACCAGUCUCGCGUAAGCGUACCCGUAAUGUCGGUCCGGGCCACUUCAUCCAACAAUACCUCCGAACCAGAGUGUGACAUGUUGGUAAGCAGUAUGACUUGUAUCGCCCACAACUCACUGUGUUGUACUCGUGCAUAUAACAUCUACGCAUAAAACCUGGCUCGGAUGCCACUGUUGGGGAACGUAGUAAUUUCAAAAAAUUUCCUACGCACACGCAAGAUCAUGGUGAUGCAUAGCAACGAGAGGGGAGAGUGUUGUCCACGUACCCUUGUAGACCAAAAGUGGAAGCGUUAGCACAACACGGUUGAUGUAGUCGCACGUCUUCACGAUCCGACCGAUCAAGUACCGAACGUACGACACCUCCGAGUUCAGCACACGUUCAUCUCGAUGACGUCCCUCGAACUCCGAUCCAGCCGAGAUUUGAGGGAGAGUUCCGUAAGCAUGAUGGCGUGGUGACGAUGAUGAUGUUCUACCGACGCAGGGCUUCGCCUAAGCACCGCUAUGAUAUUAUUGAGGUGGAUUAUGGUGGAGGGGGCACCGCACACGGCUAAGAGAUCCAAGGGAUCAAUUGUUGUGUCUCCAAGGGGUGCCUCCCUCCCCGUAUAUAAAGGAGUGGAGGAGGGGGAGGGGGCGUCCACCCUAGGCGCGCCCCAUGAGGAGUCCUGCUCCCACCGGAAGUAGGACUCCCCCCUUCCAGGUGGGAGUAGGAGAGGAGAGGGAAGGAGAGAGAGGGGGAAAGGAAAGGGGGGCGCCCCCCCUUGUCCAAUUCGGACUGGGGAGGAAGGGGGCACGCGGCUGCCCUUGGCCGCCCCUCUUCUUCUCCACUAGGGCCCNNNNNNNNNNNNNNNNNNNNNNNNNNNNNNNNNNNNNNNNNNNNNNNNNNNNNNNNNNNNNNNNNNNNNNNNNNNNNNNNNNNNNNNNNNNNNNNNNNNNNNNNNNNNNNNNNNNNNNNNNNNNNNNNNNNNNNNNNNNNNNNNNNNNNNNNNNNNNNNNNNNNNNNNNNNNNNNNNNNNNNNNNNNNNNNNNNNNNNNNNNNUAUGCCCAAUACUCCCCGAAACCAUUCCGGUGUCCGAACAUAGUUGUCCAAUAUAUCAAUCUUUAUGUCUCGACCAUUUUGAGACUCCUCGUCAUGUCCGUGAUCUCAUCCGAGACUCCAAACUACCUUUGGCACAUCAAAACAUAUAAACUCAUAAUAUAACCGUCAUCUAACUUUAAGCGUGCGGACCCUACGGGUUCGAGAACUAUGUAGACAUGACCGAGACACGUCUGUGGUCAAUAACCAAUAGCGGAACCUAGAUGCUCAUAUUGGCUCCCACAUAUUCUACAAAGAUCUUUAUUGGUCAAACCGCAUAACAACAUACGUUGUUCCCUUUGUCAUUGAUACGUCUCCAACGUAUCUAUAAUUUUUGAUUGUUCCAUGCUAUUAUAUUACCCCUUUUGGAUGAUUAAGGGCUUUAUUAUACACUUUUAUAUAACUUUUGGGACUAACCUAUUAACCGGAGGCCCAGCCCAUAUUGCUGUUUUAUUGCCUGUUUCAAUAUUUCGAAGAAAAGGAAUAUCAAAUGGAGUCCAAACGGAAUGAAACCUUCGGCAGCGUGAUUUUGUGGAAGAAUAUGAUCUUGGAGACUUGGAGUUCACGUCAGAAGAUCCUCGUGGAGGCCAGGAGAUAGGGGGCGCGCCCCCCUACUAGGCGCGCCCCUGUCUCGUGGGCCCCUCGAGCACCCCCCGUCCGACUUCUUUCGCCUAUAUAGUCCCACGUACCCUAAAAACAUCCACGAAGAAGAUAGAUCGGGAGUUCCGCCGCUGCAAGCCUUUGUAGCCACCAAAAACCUCUCGAGAGCCCAUUCCGGCACCCUGCCGGAGGGGGAACCCAUCACCGGUGUCCAUCUUCGUCAUCCUGGCGCUAUCCAUGACGAGGAGGGAGUAGUUCACCCUCGGGGCUGAGGGUAUGUACCAGUAGCUAUGUGUUUGAUCUCUCUCUCUCGCGCGUUCUCUCUAUGGCACGAUCUUGAUGUAUCGUGAGCUUUGUUAUUGUAGUUGGAUCUUAUGAUGUUUCUCCCCCUCUACUCUCUUGUGAUGAAUUGAGUUUCCCUCUUGAAGUUAUCUUAUCGGAUUGAGUCUUUGAUUUGAGAACACUUGAUGUAUGUCUUGCCGUGUUUAUCUGUGGUGACAAUGGGCACGUGCCACUUGAUGUAUGUUUUGGUGACCAACUUGCGGGUUCCGCCCAUGAACCUAUGCAUAGGGGUUGGUGAAAGUGCAACUAUCCCUAGGUGGUUUUGGUAAUUCAUAACAACAUAUAGCUCAUUGAGCUAAUGCUUUUCCAAGACUAUUAUUUCAGGAAAGCUCAAUGAAUGGCAUGGCAUGGAUGAUGAAAGUGGAUCCCUCAAAAUACUAAGGACAAAGAAUUGGCUCAAGCUCAAAAGCUCAAGACUCUUCAUUUUAUAUUUUAGUGAUCCAAGAUCACAUUGAGUCUAUAGGAAAAGCCAAUACUAUCAAGGAGGGAUGAGGUGUUGCUUAAUGAGCCUCUUGCUUCAUGUGCUUUGUGAUAUGCUCCAAAACCCUCAACUACUUUCCCACAUCCACAAAUGACCUAAACCCAAAGCCAAAAUCGGUCACACCGAAUCUUCCUAUCCGGCGCCACCGAUUCCAAAAGUCAUAGCCACUGCCACAAAACCCUAAGCAAAUCGGUCUUACCGAUAGGGAUCUCGAUCUCACCGAGAUGGGGUUGUAAUCUCUCUGUUUCCCUUCGUAACAUUUCGGUCUAACCGAAGUGAGCGAUCGGUCCCACCUAGAUUGCAAUGUAAACUCUCUGUUUCCUUUUUGUAACAUUUCGGUCUUACCGAAAAGAGCAAGUCGGUCCCAUCGAGUUUACCUGACCAACUCUCUGGAAAGCUUAUUACCAAAUCGGUCUCACCGAGUUUGUGUAAUCGAUCUUACCGAGAUUACGUUAUGCCCUAACCCUAACCGAAUCGGUCUCACCGAGAUGCAUGUCAGUCCCACCGAAAAUCACUAAUGGUCACUAGGUUUACUGAAUCGGUCUGACCAAGUUUAACGAUUCGGUCCCACUGAGUUUGGUAAAUUGUGUGUAACGCUUAGAUUUUGUGUGGAGGCUAUAUAUACCCCUCCACCUCCUCUUCAUUCGUGGAGAGAGCCAUCAGAACGAACCUACACUUCCAACUUACCAUUUCUGAGAGAGAACCACCUACUCAUGUGUUGAGGCCAAGAUAUUCCAUUCCUACCAUAUGAAUCUUGAUCUCUAGCCUUCCCCAAGUUGCUUUCCACUCAAAUCUUCUUUCCACCAGAUCCAAAACCUAUGAGAGAGAGUUGAGUGUUGGGGAGACUAUCAUUUGAAGCACAAGAGCAAGGAGUUCAUCAUCAACGCACCAUUUGUUACUUCUUGGAGAGUGGUGUCUCCUAGAUUGGCUAGGUGUCACUUGGGAGCCUUCGACAAGAUUGUGGAGUUGAACCAAGGAGUUUGUAAGGGCAAGCAGAUCGCCUACUUCGUGAAGAUCUACCGCUAGUGAGGCAAGUCCUUCGUGGGCGACGGCCAUGGUGGGAUAGACAAGGUUGCUUCUUCGUGGACCCUUCGUGGGUGGAGCCCCUCAGUGGACUCGCGCAGCCGUUACCCUUCGUGGGUUGAAGUCUCCAUCAACGUGGAUGUACGAUAGCACCACCUAUCGGAACCACGCCAAAAACAUCCGUUCCUCCAGUUGCGUUUGAAUCCUCCAAACCCUUCCCUUUACUUUCUUGCAAGUUGCAUGCUUUAAUUUCCGCUGCCUAUAUACUCUUUGCAUGCUUGCUUGAAUUGUGUGAUGAUUGCUUGACUUGUCCUAAAGUAGCUAAAAUCUGCCAAACUCUAAAAUUGGGAAAAGGUUAAGUUUUUAUUGGUCAAGUAGUCUAAUCACCCCCCCUCUAGACAUACUUCAAGGUCCUACAAGUGGUAUCAGAGCUUUGGUCUCCAUUUGUUUUGAUUUCCAUAGCUUUUGGUGGUCAUAGCCUUGGUUUCACAACCUAGGAGAGUAUGGCGUCUAGCGAGGGAAAUUAUCACCGUAGAGGUCCUUACUUUGAUGGUACUAAUUUUGCUAGUUGGAAGCAUAAGAUGAAAAUGCAUAUUCUUGGACAUAACCCCGCCGUUUGGGUAAUUAUUUGUAUUGGCUUGCAAGGUGAAUUUUUCGAUGGGAGAGAACCGAACCGUAAAGCCAAUGCGGAAGAAUUAAAGAUGCUGCAAUACAGCGCUCAAGCUUGUGAUAUCAUCUUCAACGGAUUGUGCCCCGAGGAAUUCAACAAAAUCAGCUGUCUUGAGAAUGCAAAGGAAAUUUUGGAUACUUUGAUUGAUAUGCAUGAAGGUACCGAGUCCGUCAAGGAAUCCAAGUUGGAUGUGCUCUAAAGUCAGCUUGACAAGUUCAAAAUGAAGGAUGGUGAAGGUGUCGCUGAAAUGUACUCUAGGCUUGCUCUUAUCACAAAUGAGAUUGUCGGCCUAGGGAGUGAAGAGAUGACCGACAAGUUCAUCAUCAAGAAGAUCCUAAGAGCAUUGGAUGGAAAGUAUGAUACCAUAUGCACAUUGAUUCAAAUGAUGCCAAACUACAAAGAUCUCAAGCCAACGGAAGUCAUUGGAAGAAUUGUUGCUCAUGAGAUGUCACUCAAGGAUAAGGAGGAACUUCACAACAAGUCAAGUGGUGCUUACGAAGCCUCAAGUGAAACCCCCACAUCAUCAAGUGAGAAACAAACCUUCAAUGAAGAAUUGAGCUUAAUGGUCAAGAACUUUAACAAAUUCUACAAGAGUAGAAGCAAAGAAAGAAGCUCCAAGUCAAGGUCUUACAAUGACAAAAGAUCUUCUAGUCGAGAGCGCAAUUGCUACAAUUGUGGGAGACCCGGACACUACUCCAAUGAGUGUAUGUCACCCUACAAAAGAAGAGAAGAUUCUCCAAGAAGAAGGAGCAAAAGAGAAGAAUCACCACCAAGAGAGAGGAGGAGUAGAGAUGAUCGUUAUGAAUGAAGACCCUCACGGAGAAGCAAGGAUUCGGAAAGGAAGGACAAGUCAUCAAGGAGCUACACAAAACGAAGACAUCAAGCUCAUAUUGGUGAAUGGGUAUCCGGCUCCAACUCCGACAAUCACUCCGAGAGAAGCUAUCACUCCGACUCCGAAUAUACUCAAGAUGAAGGUGUUGCCGAUCUAGCACUUGUGUCAACCAACUCCUACGACAUAUUUGAUUCACCAAAUGAAGGUGUUGGAAGAUGCUUCAUGGCCAAAGGUCCAAAGGUAACACAUCCUGAGUAUGUUGAUUUCAAUAGUGAUGAAGAUGACUUGCUUGUGGAUGAUGAUUUACUUGUUGACAACUCUAGUGAUGAAUACUAUGAUGAAACGCCAAUUAAUCAUGCUAAUCAAGAUAAAACGAAUGACAAUGAUAAGGAGAAGAUUGAGCUUCUAACCAAAGAACUAAACACUCUUAAGUUAGCUCAUGAAACUAUCUACAAAGAUCAUCGAGAACUUUUAAGGGCUCAUGAGAAGUUACGCUUUGAAAAGCUCAAUCUUUAGCAAGAGCAUGAGUUCUUAAAAGCAAUCAAUGAUGAUCUCCGUAAGAAAAGUUCUUCUUACAUUGCCAAGCGUUUACUCUUAUCUACUUACAUGCCUCAAGUCAAGUCUAGUAACAAGUACAAGAAAGAUACUUCCUCUAGUAGUAACAAUAAUAAUGUCAUAUCCAAUAUUGUUGCUUCUAGUAGUUCUCUUGAUUCCACUAAUGAUUCUCUUAGCCAAGUUACACUUGAGCAAGAAAAUAGCUUAUUGAAGGGAAUUAUAGAGAAAGGUGUUUACAAGAGCCUUGCCAGGAGGAAGCAAUUCGAGGAAAUUGUACGCAAGCAAGGAAGGUACCGGAAGAAUCAAGGUAUUGGUUUUGAACGAAGGUUCAAUGCCAAUGGAGUUGAGUGGGAAGAAGAUCAAUACCCCAAGACGAAGUUUGUUCCUCAACAAGAGAAGUAUGAUCCUACUUCCUUCAAAGGAACACAAGCUCAAGAUGAUCUUCCACCACAAGAACACAAGAACAAAGGCAAGGACAAGCUUCAAGAAGAGAUUGAUGCAUUUGAAGAAGCACCUAAAGCCUUGUUCAAGUGGGUUCCCAAGACUACGUCAAGUUCUACAUCAUCAAGUACAACUACAACUCUAAGGAUUCCCAUCAAGAUGAUGUGGAUCCCGAAUAAGAAGAACUAGAGAGUUCUUGAGGGUGACUCCGCCAACAUUCUUCACUCAUAUCAUUUUGGCAAGAACAAGUGCAAUCAACUUCCACAUCUUGCACUAGUUCAAGGAGUCACAAACCCUCAUGUUGGUAAGGCAAGGGACAAGGUAACCUAAUGAUUUCAUGGACAUCAUCUUGUGUGUGCAUCACUCUAUGUAUAUGGAUAUUCUUGUUUGUUCCUUGUGGGACUAACCCAUGUAGGUAAGUUGAAAGUGCAACUCACUCCAAAGGAUUGCUCCAAAUGAUCUACAUCAACAUUGAGCAUCUACAUCUUCAACACCUACAUGAAGUCAUCAUCGACAAAACCCAAGGUUAGUUCAUCCCUCUAAGGGGGGAUCUCACAUCUAGGGGGAGCUUAACUCUAAGAAUUGAGUCAAAGCAACUCUAAUGGUGUGAACAAAUCAAUGCAUUAUGUAAAAGUGGUAACCCCACUUGAGCUUAAACGAUGAGUAUGACCUAUGAUCAAAUGUUCUCAUUUGACUCCUAAGUCAAUAUACUCAUAUAUAGAUGACCUAGUCAUCGCCAAUUGUUUGAUAGAUGCUAGAAUUGGUUGUGCAUUCUUUGUCACAUGUUUCAUUUGCCAUCUUACUGUGUGAGCAUGUUGGUGCAUAUUUUACUCAUUCAAGGAUAUCCACUUGUUGUUUUGAUUGUUUGGUUUUUCUUCUUGCCAAGUGGAUGGACAAGAAUGCCUAAGAACCUUCUUUAGCUAUCUAUGCUUUUCUCAUCUCAAACUCUAUUCAUGCUACAUCACAAAAGUUGAUCAAGUCAGAUUCGAACCACUCUGUGUGAGGAGCACUCGGAGUCCCCGAUUCGUCAUAGACUUAAACUUCCAAAACCUCUUUGUGACUCUCGGUCUGACCGAUUCCUUCAUUUCGGUCCUACCGAGACCAUUAAGUUGAUCUGAGUUUUCAAUCUCGGUGCAACCGAUUUGAACUGCUCGGUCACACCGAUUUACUGUAACUGUACACAGUUAUGCAUCUCGGUGCCACCGAGUUGUUCCACUCGGUCACACCGACAGGGUCGGGCUAUAUAUAGUCACGGGCAAAAUUUUGGAAAUUUCUCCGAAACCCUUUGCCCGUGCAAUAGCUCGCUCUGCCAUCGGAGGUCUUCGGAUCGUCUCCUCAUCGCCAGCAGCCUCCAAUAGCUGGUCUCCGCUGCCGUCAACGGAUUUCGCCCCCACCGUUGCCGCCGUAGCGAGUCCACCGCCAAAUUAGGGUAUGGACUCAAUCUUUGUGCUAUCCACGUCUGAUUCCUAGCACAUUGUAUUCUUAUGGAUUCUUGCCAUGAUUGAAAAACUUCUAUCCAGCCAAAGUAAUCCGUAGAUUAGAUGAGAUUCAAAUUUUUAGGGUUAGGUUUCCGCCGAAACCAUCUCGGACCCACCGAGUUGAAAAACUCGGUCUCACCGAUUUGGCUUAUGCCAUUGCACUAGUGACUCUCGGUCUGACCGAGAAUUACUAAUCGGUGCGUCCGAUUUGAGGAUUCUGUGAAACCCUAGCAGUCUCGGUGCCAUCGAACUGUGACUCGGUCCAAUCGAGUUCAUCAGUUUAGGUUCCAAAACUGCUUCGGUAUCACCGAGUUUGAAAAUCGGUUGAUCCGAAAUGCUUUCUAUGGAAAACUAAAACUGAACUUUUUGAAUCAUUCUUUUGCAAAAAUCUCUGCAUUUUGUGAUGCUCAUCUAUUCUAUCCCAUCUAUAACUCUUCACAGGGUCAGUAGUCAGCUUUUUGCAGCAUGUCAGACCAGAGUGACAGCCAGAACAGGUCAGAAGAGCAGAUGGAUUUGAGUGUGGGCACUAGUCCCUCAACUAUAGAUGAAGGGAGCAGAAGCACUCCUAGCAACCUGCCCAAGGCUGCUACCAGGCAGAGAAAGAAAAGAACAUCAGACUCAGAGGAUGAGGAUUACAAAGCUGAGGAAGAUGAGGCUACUUCCAAGAAGGUGGUGCUCAAGAAAGAAUAUGGCUCUGCACAUAGCACUAAGCCUGGACUGAAGAAGAAAGUUCCUGCAAAGAGGACACCAAUGCCUAAAGCCAGAAAGUCCACUCAAGUGCCAGCUCAGACAGAUCUCAAAGAGGCACCUGAGAAGAAAGUUACUUCUUCCAAACCUCAGAAAGUUCCCACUUGAGAGACAAUGAAGUUCACAAUUGAAUCAGAGGAUGAAGGUGCUCAGGACAAGAAAAAGAAGAGAGCAAGAACCACAACUGCCAAGGUCCUUGGAAAGCCCUCUAUGAGAAGGGAUGCUGAAGAGGAAGAGGAUGCUGCACCAGCACCUAAGGCACCCAAGCUUAUGGGUGAUGCAAUCAGAUCAGGGGCUACAACAUCCAAGCCCAAAGAAGCACCCAAAGCUGCCUCCAAGGCCAAGCAAGUUCCAAAGAGGAAUACUAGAAGUAUUCCAGCUGCUGAGAAGAACAAGGCCCCAGUACCAAAUGUUGCUGAAGAAGAAGAUGAAGAAGGUCAAGUCCUAAGGAAGCUCAAGCCCAAGAUACCAGACCACAAUGAUGCCCAUCCUGUGGCUGAGGACAUGAGGAUCAGGAAGGAUUCAGGGCUGAGGCUGUGGAGGAUGGAAGAUCCAUAUGCAUCAAGGAGAAGAACUGUUGUUGACUACAGGUUCCAUACAAAGGAACAACAGGACUUCUAUGAGACAAUUCUGUUGGAUAAGAAGCAUAUAGUUUGUGAUAUGAGGUGGGUCGACUGGACCUACAUCAAGGACAAUGAAGAGCACUAUCCUGGAGUGCAAGAAAGCUUUGUUGCUUGUGGAGUUGCUGAUUUUGUUGGACAGAAGUUCACCCACUGGAAUGAUGAACUUAGCAUGCAAUUCUACUCCACAGCACACUUUUACCCAGAUGGAAGAAUUGUUUGGAUGUCUAAAGGUACAAGGUACCAAUCCACUAUUGAAGAAUGGGCAAGUCUGAUAAAUGCCCCCAAGGAAAAUGAGGAUGACCUGGAUAUCUAUGCAAAGAAGAAGAUGGAUCACAAUUCAAUGGCUCACAUGUACAAGGAGAUCCCAGACAAAGCAGUUGAGACUCACAAGUUUGGAUCAGUUCACUUUCUGCUGUCAGGGUUGCCAACCAUUAAUUGGAUUCUAAGGCAUACUCUGUUGCCCAAGUCUGGUGACCAUAACAUGAUCAGAGGGCAUGCCAUCAACAUGUUGCAUGUGUUUGAUGUGCCACAGAAGUUCAAAGUCAUGAGCCUGAUGAUUGAAACAAUCAAGAGGACUGCAGCAGAUCAGAAGAGGAGCUGUGGAUAUGCACCUCAGAUUCAGGAAUUGAUCAACUCAAAGAUGGGCACAGGGAAAUAUCAGUUGGAUAAGGAACAUUUUCCACUUUAUCCAGACUUUAAGGACAAUGAGGUUGUCAUGAAUGAGAAUGAUCCAACAUCAGUUCAAGCUCAGGAGAAGAAGGAGAAGGCAAAGAAGGAGAAGGCUGCCAGGAUGCCAACUCAAGAGGAGGCAUCUGAAUAUUUCUUGAAGACCAAACAGGAGCAGCUUGGUUACUUGAUAGCAUCUAUACUGAGGAUUGAGAAGGGACUGGCCACCCUCACUCAGAAUCAGGAAAGCCUUGAGAGAAUCAUGGAACUCAAAUUCCAUGACCUUGAUGUCAAAGUAACUGAGAUUCAGUCAGUUGUAGAGCAGCUGCAGGAGGACAUGCAGGAGAAGCAGGGCAAGACAACAACCAAUGUGUUUGCCAGAGUGCCCAGAGCCCAGAGGUCAGUUGCAGUGCCAGUGACAGACACUAGAGCAACAACAUCUGCACCAGCCACAGCACCUACAGUUCCAGUGCAACCAGCUCCAGCAUCCACUCCAGCACCCUCUACUUCAACUGAAGCCUUUGUCCUUGGAGUCACCAGGACACACCACCAGAAGAUCAAGCCUGAGAGUCGAUCUAGCACUAUGCAUUUUCUAUGAACUUUUUGGUAACUUGUUGCCAAAGGGGGAGAAAAAUGUAUAGAUCAUAGGCUUCGAGAGAGAGAGUGUUGCUUUUGUUCUCUCUUGCUUUAUUUGGUGGUUUUUAAACUUUGUUUGAUUGGUUGAGAUACUAUGCUUGUGAGACAUUUAUGAUCAUGUGUUUGAUCAUAAGCUACACUUAUGCAUGUUUGAUGAUAUUAUCCUAUCUAUCUUAUGUGAUCAUUCACUAUGCUUGGUGAUGAGUGCAUGUAUUCAAUGUUUAUUAUUUUGAGCACUCCACCAAGAUGUCUGUGACAUGGAAGAGUAACCCAUGAGCCUAAUUCAUUGUGCAUUUGCAAUCCAAAGCAAAUAUUAAACUAUGCACAAAUUUAGGGGGAGCUCUUGCUUAUCACAUACUUCUCAAAGCAACGAUUCAAUCUUAUUAUCAUUUGUCGAAGCUUUGAUCUAUAUGUUGUCAUCAAUUACCAAAAAGGGGGAGAUUGAAAGUGCAACUAUCCCUAGGUGGUUUUGGUAAUUCAUAACAACAUAUAGCUCAUUGAGCUAAUGCUUUUCCAAGACUAUUAUUUCAGGAAAGCUCAAUGAAUGGCAUGGCAUGGAUGAUGAAAGUGGAUCCCUCAAAAUACUAAGGACAAAGGAUUGGCUCAAGCUCAAAAGCUCAAGACUCUUCAUUUUAUAUUUUAGUGAUCCAAGAUCACAUUGAGUCUAUAGGAAAAGCCAAUACUAUCAAGGAGGGAUGAGGUGUUGCUUAAUGAGCCUCUUGCUUCAUGUGCUUUGUGAUAUGCUCCAAAACCCUCAACUACUUUCCCACAUCCACAAAUGACCUAAACCCAAAGCCAAAAUCGGUCACACCAAAUCUUCCUAUCCGGCGCCACCGAUUCCAAAAGUCAUAGCCACUGCCACAAAACCCUAAGCAAAUCGGUCUUACCGAUAGGGAUCUCGAUCUCACCGAGAUGGGGUUGUAAUCUCUCUGUUUCCCUUCGUAACGUUUCGGUCUAACCGAAGUGAGCGAUCGGUCCCACCAAGAUUGCAAUGUAAACUCUCUGUUUCCUUUUUGUAACAUUUCGGUCUUACCGAAAAGAGCAAGUCGGUCCCACCGAGUUUACCUGACCAACUCUCUGGAAAGCUUAUUACCAAAUCGGUCUCACCGAGUUUGUGUAAUCGGUCUUACCGAGAUUACGUUAUGCCCUAACCCUAACCAAAUCGGUCUCACCGAGAUGCAUGUCAGUCCCACCGAAAAUCACUAACGGUCACUAGGUUUACUGAAUCGGUCUGACCGAGUUUAACGAUUCGGUCCCACCGAGUUUGGUAAAUUGUGUGUAACGGUUAGAUUUUGUGUGGAGGCUAUAUAUACCCCUCCACCUCCUCUUCAUUCGUGGAGAGAGCCAUCAGAACGAACCUACACUUCCAACUUACCAUUUCUGAGAGAGAACCACCUACUCAUGUGUUGAGGCCAAGAUAUUCCAUUCCUACCAUAUGAAUCUUGAUCUCUAGCCUUCCCCAAGUUGCUUUCCACUCAAAUCUUCUUUCCACCAGAUCCAAAACCUAUGAGAGAGAGUUGAGUGUUGGGGAGACUAUCAUUUGAAGCACAAGAGCAAGGAGUUCAUCAUCAAUGCACCAUUUGUUACUUCUUGGAGAGUGGUGUCUCCUAGAUUGGCUAGGUGUCACUUGGGAGCCUCCGACAAGAUUGUGGAGUUUAACCAAGGAGUUUGUAAGGGCAAGGAGAUCGCCUACUUCGUGAAGAUCUACCGCUAGUGAGGCAAGUCCUUCGUGGGCGACGGCCAUGGUGGGAUAGACAAGGUUGCUUCUUCGUGGACCCUUCGUGGGUGGAGCCCUCCGUGGACUCACGCAGCCGUUACCCUUCGUGGGUUGAAGUCUCCAUCAACGUGGAUGUACGAUAGCACCACCUAUCGGAACCACGCCAAAAACAUCCGUGUCUCCAAUUGCGUUUGAAUCCUCCAAACCCUUCCCUUUACUUUCUUGCAAGUUGCAUGCUUUAAUUUCCGCUGCCUAUAUACUCUUUGCAUGCUUGCUUGAAUUGUGUGAUGAUUGCUUGACUUGUCCUAAAGUAGCUAAAAUCUACCAAACUCUAAAAUUGGGAAAAGGUUAAGUUUUUAUUGGUCAAGUAGUCUAAUCACCCCCUCUAGACAUACUUCAAGGUCCUACAGUUGGCACAUGGUUUCUUGACUCCCCGGUAGAAACUUUGGGGCACUCUUUGAAGUACUUUGUGUUGGUUGAAUGAAUCUGAGAUUGUGUGAUGCAUAUCGUAUAAUCAUGCCCACAGAUACUUGAGGUAACGAUGGAGUAUCUAGGUGACAUUAGGGUUUUGGUUGAAUUGUGUCUUAAGGUGUUAUUCUAGUACAAACUCUUUAAUAGAUCGAUCCGAAAGAAUAACUUUGAGGUGGUUUCAUACCCUACCAUAAUCUCUAUGUUUGUUCUCCGCUAUUAAUGGCUUUGGUGUGACUCUUUGUUGCAUGUUGAGGGAUUGUUAUAUGAUCUAUCUAUGUUAUUAUUGUUGAGAGAAAUUGCACUAGUGAAAGUAUGAACCCUAUGCCUUGUUUCCUAUCAUUGCAAUACCAUUUACACUGACUUUUAUCAUUAGUUACCUUGCUGUUUUUAUAUUUGCAGAUUACAAAUACCUUUAUCUACCGUCCAUAUUGCACUUGUAUCACCAUCUCUUCGCCGAACUAGUGCACCUAUACAAUUUGCCAUUGUAUUGGGUGUGUUGGGGACACAAGAGACUCUUUGUUAUUUGGUUGCAGGGUUGUUUGAGAGAUACCAUCUUCAUCCUACGCCUCCCACGGAUUGAUAAACCUUAGGUCAUCCACUUGAGGGAAAUUUGCUACUGUCCUACAAACUUGUGCACUUGCAGGCCCAACAACGUCUACAAGAAGAAGGUUGUGUAGUAGACAUCAAGCUCUUUUCUGGCGCCGUUGCCGGGGAGGUGAGUGCUUGAAGGUAUAUCUUUAGAUCUUGCAAUUGAAUCUUUUUGUUUGUUGUUUUAUCACUAGUUUAGUUUAUAAAAGAAAACUACAAAAAAAUGGAGUUGAGUUUGUCUCAUACGCUUUGUCUUCUUAAUAUCUUUCGUGAGAAUGAUGGAAAGGAAAAUUGUGCUCAAGUGCUAGAAGAAGAAUGCAUUAAAAUAUUUGGUACUAGAUCUUUGUGUGAUGAGCAUGAUAUCAAUGUUGCUAGUAUGAAUUCCUUGAAUAUCCAUGAUGCUAAUGAUAUGCAAAGCCACAAGCUUGGGGAUGCUAUGUUUGAUGAAGAUGAUAUUUUUUGUCCCCCAAGUUUCGAUGAGAAUAUUUAUUAUGAUGAAAGCAUGCCUCCUAUUUAUGAUGAUUAUAUUAAUGAAAGUGGGUUUGGAAGAGUGUCAACUUUAGGAAGUAGUGAUCCCACUAUUUUGGAGGAUGUCGAAUAUUAUUGUGAUGAACAUUAAAGUGGAUUUGGAAGAGUGUCAACUUUAUUUAGUGAUGAUUCCACUAUUUCGGAAGAGGUUCCAAUUGAUUAUGAGAACAAAGUUGCUAUCUAUGAUGAUUAUUGUGAUGACUUGUAUGCUAUUAGGAAUAAUGAUAACCAUGAAAUUUUUCAUCAUGAUUUUAGUUUUCAAUUGGAUUAUGCCUCACAUGAUAAUUAUUUUGUUGAGUUUUCUCCCGCUACUAUUCAUGAGAAGAAAUUUGCUUGUGUGAGAGUAGUAAAUUUUCUAUGCAAGUAGAUCAUGAAAAGAAUGCUUUAUGUGCUGGUUAUAUUGUUGAAUUCAUUCAUGAUGCUACUGAAAAUUAUUAUGAGGGAGGAACAUAUGCUUGUAGGAAUUGCAAUAAUAUCAAGUUUCCUCUAUAUGUGCUUAAAAUCUUGAAGCUAUACUUGUGUUACCUUCCUAUGCUUGUUGAUUAUUGUUCCCUUAAGUUGUUUGCUCACAAAAUCCCUAUGCAUAGGAAGUGGGUUAGGCUUAAAUGUGUUAGUCAUAUGCUUCAUGAUGCUCCCGUUAUAUUUCAAUUUUUAUCUUUUAUGUGAGCAUCAUUGUCAUCAUCAUGCCUAGCUAGAAAGGCAUUAAAGAAAAACACUUGUUGGGAGACAACCCAAUACUUAUCCUUACUGUUUUUGUGUGUCCACAUGAUUAUGCUACUGUAGUAAUCAUGUUUUAUAGCUUUUGUUUCAAUAAAGUUCCAAGUAAGACCUUUAGGAUAGCUUACGGUGAUAGUUGUGUUGAUCCUGCUGAGAAUCAGAAACUUUUGCGUCCAGUAAAUUAGCUUUGUUAAUUCACAGAAAUGUGCUUCUGAUCUGAUUAUUUUUCUCUGGAUUGUUACACGAAUUGUUUAGGACUUCCUAAUUUGGUAGGAGUUUUGGUGUUUCAGAAGUAUAUGUUUGAUACAGAUUACUACAGACUGUUCUGUUUUUGACAGAUUCUGUUUUCAUUGUGUUGUUUGCUUUUUUUGAUGAAUCUAUGAGUAGUAUUGGAGGGUAUGAACCACAGAUAAGUUAGAAUACAGUAGAUAUUACACCAAUAUGAAUUUAGAAUGAGUUUAUUACAGUACCUAAGUGGUGGUUUUAUUCUCUUAUACUAACGGAGCUUACGAGUUUUCUGUUGAGUUUUGUGUUGUGAAGUUUUCAAGUUUUGGGUAAAGAUACGAUGGACUAUGGAAUAAGGAGUGGCAAGAGACUAAGCUUGGGGAUUCCCAAGGCACCCCAAGGUAAUAUUCAAGGACAACCAAGAGCCUAAGCUUGGGGAUGCCCCGGAAGGCAUCCCCUCUUUCGUCUUCGUCCAUCGGUAACCUUACCUGGAGCUAUAUUUUUAUUCACCACAUGAUAUGUGUUUUGCUUGGAGCGUCAGUUUCUUUUGUUAGAAUUUGCUUGAUGUUGUUUAGAAUAAUGUUUUUCAUAUUUAUUUUCAAUAAAAAUGUCAAGGAUAGCCUUUGCCAUGCUUAUUUUGCUAGUAUACAUGUUGCUGUUUGAAAACAGAAAGUUUACCGCUGUUGCAAAAAUUACCUAGAAAAUUCAGAGAAUGAUAUAAUGUUGAAACCUUUUGCAUAAUAAGCUCUGAUAAAUUUACUACAGUGAGAAUUUUAUUUAAUAAUUUUUGGAGUUAGGGAAGUAUUGAUACUCUUGCAUUCUUUACAGACUAUACUGUUUUGGCAGAUUGCUGUUAUGUUUGCGUUGUUUGCAUAUGUUUGCUUGUUUAAUGAUUCUAUUUUAGGAUAGGAGUAUUAAAUAUGCAGAGGCAUUUAGUAUGCAAUGUUGGAUAAUAAUGUUAGUGAUUUGUUACAGUAUAAAAUGAUAAGGUUUUGCAUUGGUUUAUACUAACCUAUCUCACGAGUUCUUGUUGAGUUUGGUGUGGAUGAAGCUUUUGAUAAAAAGAUAAACCAUGAUAUGAGAGGAAUUAAGGAGACACAAAAGUUCAAGCUUGGGGAUGGACAAGGCACCCCAAGAUAAUAUUUCAAGAAGUCUCAAGCAUCUAAGCUUGGGUAUGCCCCGUGAGGCAUCCCACCUUUCUUCUUCAAUCACUAUCGGUUAGUAUCGGUUGAGCCUAAGUUUUUGCUUCUUCACAUGAGUUGUGCUAUCCUUGCAAUGUCAUUUUAUUUUGUUUUGCUUGCUGUUUGAGUACAAUACCAAGAUCUGAAAUUCCUUAAUGUUAGAGAGUCUUCACAUAGUUGCACAAUUAUUCGACUACUCAUUGAUCUUCACUUAUAUCUUUUGGAGUAGUUUGUCAUUUGCUCUAGUGCAUCACUUAUAUCUUUUAGAGCACGACGGUGGUUAUAUUUUGUAGAAAUUGCUAGUCUCUCAUGCUUCACUUAUAUUAUUUUGAGAGUCUUUUAGAACAGCAUGGUAUUUUCUAUGGUUAUAAAGUUGGUCCUAGAAUGAUGAGCAUCCAAGUUGGGUAUAAUAAAAACUAUCAUAGAAAAGAAUUGGAUGCUAUGAUCAAUUUGAUGCGUGAUAAUUGUUUUGAGAUAUGGAGGUAGUGAUAUUAGAGUCAUGCUAGUUGAGGUGAUUAUGAAAAAUACUUGUGUUAAGGGUUGUGAUUCCCGUAGCAUGCACGUAUGGUGAACCGCUUUGUGAUGAAGUUGGAGCACAAUUUUAUUUAUUGAUUGUCUUCCUUAUGAGUGGCGGUCGGGGACGAGCGAUGGUCUUUUCCUACCAAUCUAUCCCCCUAGGAGCAUGCGCGUAGUGCUCUGGUUUUUGAUGACUUUUAGAUUUUUGCAAUAAGUACAUGAGUUCUUUUGACUAAUGUUGAGUCCAUGGAUUAUACGCACCUCACCCUUCCACCAUUGCUAGCAUCUCUUGUGCCGUGCAACUUUCGCCGGUACCAUACACCCACCAUAUACCUUCCUCAAAACCGCCACCAUACCUACCUAUUAUGGCAUUUCCAUAGCCAUUCCGAGAUAUAUUGCCAUGCAACUUUCCACCGUUCCAUUCAUAUGACACGCAUUACUUUUGUCAUAUUGCUUUUUGCAUGAUCAUGUAGUUGACAUUGUAUAUGUGGCAAGGCCACCUUCAUAAUUUUCAUACAUGCCGCUCUUGAUUCAUUGCAUACCCCGGUACACCACCGGAGGCAUUCAUAUAGAGUCAUAUCUUGUUCUAGCUUUGAGUUGUAAUUCUUGAGUUGUAAAUCCAUAAAAGUGUGAUGAUUUUCAUUAUUAGAGCAUUGUCCUAGUGAGGAAAGGAUGAUGAAGACUAUGAUUCCCCACAAGUCGGGAUGAGACUUCAGACUUUACAAAAAGAAAAAAAAAGAGAAAGGCCAAAAAGAAAAAAAGAAAGGCCAAAGAAAAAAAAAGAGAAAAAAAGGAAAAAAAAGAAAAGGAAUAAAAUAAAAUGAGAGAAAAAGAGAGAAGGGACAAUGCUACUAUCUCUUUUUCCACACUUGUGCUUCAAAGUAGCACCAUGAUCUUCAUGAUAGAGAGUCUCAUAUGUUGUCACUUUCAUAUACUAGUGGGAAUUUUUCAUUAUAGAACUUGGCUUGUAUAUUCCAAUGAUGGGCUUCCUCAAAAUGCCCUAGGUCUUCGUGAGCAAGUGAGUUGGAUGCACACCCACUUAGUUUUGUUUGUUGAGCUUUCAUAUAUUUAUAGCUCUAGUGCAUCCGUUGCAUGGCAAUCCCUACUCACUCACAUUGAUAUCUAUUAAUGGGCAUCUCCAUGGCCCGUUGAUACACCUUGUUGAUGUGAGACUAUCUUCUCCUUUUUGUCUUCUCCACAACCACCAUUCUUUUUAUUCCACAUAUAGUGCUAUGUCCAUGUCUCACGGUCAUGUAUUGCGUGAAAGUUGGAAAAGUUUGAGAUUAUUAAAGUAUGAAACAAUUGCUUGGCUUGUCAUCGGGGUUGUGCAUGAUUAAAUACUUUGUGUGAUGAAGAUAGAGCAACAACCAGACUAUAUGAUUUUGUAGGGAUAACUUUCUUUGGCCAUGUUAUUUUGAGAAGACAUGAUUACUUUGAUUAGUAUGCUUGAAGUAUCACCAUUUUCAUGUUAAUAUGAACUUUUAUUUUGUAUCAUUUGGAUCUGAACAUUCAUGCCCCAAUAAAGAAAAUUACAUUGAGAAUUAUGCUAGGUAGGAUUCCACAUCAAAAAUUCUGUUUUUAUCAUUUACCUACUCGAGGACGAGCAGGAAUUAAGCUUGGGGAUGUUUGAUACGUCUCCAACGUAUCUAUAAUUUUUUAUUGUUCCAUGCUAUUAUAUUACCCCUUUCGGAUGAUUACGGGCUUUAUUAUACACUUUUAUAUUACUUUUGGGACUAACCUAUUAACCGGAGGCCCAGCCCAUAUUGCUGUUUUAUUGUCUGUUUCAGUAUUUCGAAGAAAAGGAAUAUCAAACGGAGUCCAAACGGAAUGAAACCUUCGGCAGCGUGAUUUUUUGGAAGAAUAUGAUCCUGGAGACUUGGAGUUCACGUCAGAAGAUCCUCGAGGAGGCCAGGAGAUAGGCCCCCCUACUGAGCGCGCCCCCUAUCUCGUGGGCCCCUUGAGCACCCCCCGACCGACUUCUUUCGCCUAUAUAGUCCCACGUACCCUAAAAACAUCCACGAAGAAGAUAGAUCGGGAGUUCCGCCGCCACAAGCCUCUGUAGCCACCAAAAACCUCUCGGGAGCCCGUUCCGGCACCCUGCCGGAGGGGGAACCCAUCACCGGUGGCCAUCUUCAUCAUCCCGGCGCUAUCCAUGACAAGGAAGGAGUAGUUCACCCUCGGGGCUGAAGGUAUGUACCAGUAGCUAUGUGUUUGAUCUCUCUCUCUCUCUCUCGUGUUCUCUCUAUGGCACGAUCUUGAUGUAUAGCGAGCUUUGUUAUUAUAGUUGGAUCUUAUGAUGUUUCUCCCCCUCUACUCUCUUGUGAUGAAUUGAGUUUCCCUCUUGAAGUUAUCUUAUCGGAUUGAGUCUUUGAUUUGAGAACACUUGAUGUAUGUCUUGCCGUGUUUAUCUGUGGUGACAAUGGGAUAUCACGUGCCACUUGAUGUAUGUUUUGGUGACCAACUUGCGGGUUCCGCCCAUGAACCUAUGCAUAGGGGUUGGCACACGUUUUCUUGACUCUCCGGUAGAAACUUUGGGGCACUCUUUGAAGUACUUUGUGUUGGUUGGAUGAAUCUGAGAUUGUGUGAUGCAUAUCGUAUAAUCAUGCCCACGGAUACUUGAGGUGAUAAUGGAGUAUCUAGGUGACUGAUAACCCACAAGUGUAGGGGAUCGCAACAGCUUUCGAGGGUAAAGUAUUCAACCCAAAUUUAUUGAUUCGACACAAGGGGAGCCAAAGAAUAUUCUUGAGUAUUAGCAGUUGAGUUGUCAAUUCAACCACACCUGGAUAACUUAGUAUCUGCAGCAAAGUGUUUAGUAGCAAAGUGGUAUGAUAAUAAAGAUAAUGGUGGCAAAAGUAAAGAUAAUAGUUUUUGGGUUUUUGUAGUAGUUGUAACAGUAGCAACGGAAAAGUAAAUAAGCGAAGAACAAUAUGUGAAAAGCUCGUAGGCAAUGGAUCAAUGAUGGAUAAUUAUGCCGGAUGCGAUUCCUCAUGUAAUAGCUAUAACAUAGGGUGACAUAGAACUAGCUCCAGUUCAUCAAUGCAAUGUAGGCAUGUAUUCCGUAAAUAGUCAUACGUGCUUAUGGAAAAGAACUUGCAUGACAUCUUUUGUCCUACCCUCCCAUGGCAGCGGGGUCCUAGCGGAAACUAAGGGAUAUUAAGGCCUCCUUUUAAUAGAGAACCGGAACAAAGCAUUAGCACAUAGUGAAUACAUGAACUCCUCAAACUAUGGUUAUCACCGAGAAGUAUCCCGAUUAUUGUCACUUCGGGGUUGUCGGAUCAUAACAUAUAAUAGGUGACAAUAGACUUGCAAGAUAGGAUCAAGAACACACAUAUAUUCAUGAAAACAUAAUAGGUUCAGAUCUAAAAUCAUGGCACUCGGGCCCUAGUGACAAGCAUUAAGCAUAGCAAAGUCAUAGCAACAUCAAUCUCAGAACAUAGUGGAUACUAGGGAUCAAACCCUAACAAAACUAACUUGAUUACAUGGUAAAUCUCAUCCAACCCAUCACCGUCCAGCAAGCCUAUGAUGGAAUUACUCACGCACGGCGGUGAGCAUCAUGAAAUUGGUGAUGGAGGAUGGUUGAUGAUGACGACAGCGAUGAAUCCCCCUCUCCGGAGCCCUGAACGGACUCCAAAUCAGCCCUCCCGAGAGAGAUUAGGGCUUGGCGGCGGCUCCAUGUCGUAAAACGCGAUGAAACUUUCUCUCUGAUUUUUUUCUCCCUGAACGUGAAUAUAUGGAGUUGGAGUUGAGGUCGGUGGAGGUAUAGGGGGCCCACGAGAUAGGGGGGGCGCGCCCAGGAGGAGGGGGCGCGCCCCCUGUCUCGUGGACAGGGUGUGGCCCCCCUGGUGUAUUUCUUUCGCCCAAUAAUUCUUAUUAAUUCCAAAAGGUGCCUCCGUGGAUUUUCAGGACAUUCCGAGAACUUUUCUUUUCUACACAUAAAACAACAUCAUGGCAGUUCUGCUGAAAACAGCGUCGGUCCGGGUUAGUUUCAUUCAAAUCAUGCAAGUUAGAGUCCAAAACAAGGGCAAAAGUGUUUGGAAAAGUAGAUACGUUGGAGACGUAUCAACUCCCCCAAGCUUAAACCUUUGCUUGUCCUCAAGCAAUUCAGUUGAUAAACUGAAAGUGAUAAAGAAAAACUUUUACAAACUCUAUUUGCUCUUGUUGUAAACAUGAAAAGCCAGCAUUCAAGUUUUAGCAAAUAUUAUGAACUAACCAUACUCACAAAAACACUUGGGUCUCACAAUUACUCAUAUCAAUAGCAUAAUCAGCUAGCUAGCCAUAAUAAUAAAACUUGGAUGACAACACUUUCUCAAAACAAUCAUAACAUGAUAUAACAAAAUGGUAUCUCGCUAGCCCUUUUUGAGACCGCAAAACAUAAAUGCAGAGCACCUUUAAAGAUCAAGGACUGACUAAACAUUGUAAUUCAUGGUAAAAGAGAUCCAGUCAAGUCAUACCCAAUAUAAACCAACAAUAAUGGAUGCAAAUGACAGUGUGCUCUCCAGUGGGUGCUUUUUAAUAAGAAGGGUGAUGACUCAACAUAAAAGUAAAUAUAUAGGCCCUUCGCAGAGGGAAGCAGGGAUUUGUAGAGGUGCCAGAGCUCGAUUUUAAAAUAGAGAUUGAAUAACAUUUUGAGCGGAAUACUUUUGCUAUCAACGCAAAAACUAUGAGAUGGCUGUAUCUUCCAUAGUACAUGCAUUAUAGGCAGUUCCCAAACAGAAUGGUAAAGGUUUAUACUCCCCCAACCACCAACAAGCAUCAAUCCAUGGCUUGCUCGAAACAACGAGUGCUUCCAACUAACAACAUCCCUGGGGGAGUUUUGUUUAAUUAUUUUGAUUUGCUUUGAUCGUUUUGGAUCAUGGGACUGUGGCAUCCCGUUUACCGGCCCUUUCUCGUGAGUGAGGAGCGGAGUCCACUCCUCUUGAGAAUAACCCACCUAGCAUGGAAGAUAUAGGCAGCCCUAGUUGAAACAUGAGCUGCUCGAGCAUACAAAACAGAAUUUCAUUUGAAGGUUUGGAGUUUGGCACAUACAAAUUUACUUGGAAGGGCAGGUAAAUACCACAUAUAGGAAAGUAUAGUGGAAUCAUAUGGAACAACUUUGGGGUUUAAGGAGUGUGGAUGCACAAGCAGUAUUCCCGCUUAGUACAGGUGAAGGCUAGCAAAAGACUGGGAAGCGACCAACUGAGAGAGCGACAACAGUCAUGAACAUGCAUUAAAAUUAAUUCACACCGAAUACAAGCAUGAGUAGGAUAUAAUCCACCAUGAACAUAAAUAUCAUGAAGGCUGUGUUGGUUUGAUUCAACUACAUGCGUGAACAUGUGCCAAGUCGAGUCACUCAAUUCAUUCAAAGGAUGAUACCAUCCCAUCAUACCACAUCAUAAUCAUUCUAAUAGCAUGUUGGCACGCAAGGUAAACCAUUAUAACUCAUAGCUAAUCAAGCAUGGCACAAGCAACUAUAAUCUCUAAAUGUCAUUGCAAAUAUGUUUACCUCAUAAUAGCUGACUCAGAAACUAUGAACUCAUCAUAUUUACAAAAACAAGAGAGGUCGAGUUCAUACCAGCUUUUCUCAUCCCAAUAAGUCCAUCAUAUAUCGUCAUUAUUGCCUUUCACUUGCACGACCGAACGAUGUGUAUAAUAAUAAUAGUGCUCGUGCAUUGGACUAAGCUGGUAUCUGCAAGCAUUCAACUCAAGAGAGAAGACAAGUAAUAUGGGCUCUAAGUUAAAUAAUCAAUCAUGCAAAUGAGAGCCACUAAACAUUUUCAAUAUGGUCUUCUUGACCCCCAAAGGAAAGAAAAGAAAAUAAAACCAUUUACACGGGAAAGCUCCCAACAAGUAAAAAGAAGAACUAGAAAUAUUUUUGGGUUUUCAUUUUAAUUUCUACUACAAGCAUGGAAAUUAAACUAACUAAUUUUUUUGGUUUUUCUUAAGGUUUAUCAAACACACAAUAAGAAAACUAGAAAAAUAAAUUUAAACUAGCAUGGAUAAUACAAUGAAAGAGUAUGAGCACUGACAACUAGUGCGUGAACAUGAAUGUAAAGUCGGUGAGAAAUACGUACUCCCCCAAGCUUAGGCUUUUGGCCUAAGUUGGUCUAGUACCAAGGACCGCUGCUACUCUCCCCGGUGUACUGGGAAGUGUAAUCAGGAUACCACUGGCUGGUCAUCUCCGGAUCCCACUGGACAGAUGAUGCACGAUAAGGGUCCAGUUCAGGUUCCAGCUCAGGUUCAGGUUCUGGUGUGAAAGCUUGGGCUCGAUGGUUGUACACCGCUUCCGGCAUGACAAGAAAAUUUUCUACAAGCAAAUCAAACAAGAGAGGCGCAGGCAAAAUAAUAAUCUCAAAGUGUUUCUUAUUAAAUCUAAGUUUAUACAAGAGCAUCUUCUCUUUGUUGUCAACAAUAAAUUUGUGUGCUACCAUGCUCUUGUAAUCUAAAAUGUGAGGAGGCAAUUUUGUCUCCUCUUUCUCAUGGUGCCUAAUGGGUAUCUGAAAAUGUCUAGCAAGACGUGCAACAUAGAUACCCAAAAUAUGUGGCCUUUUGUACGAUUCAGGGCUAUCCGUUUAGCAACAACGACACCCAUACUAAAAGUAUUGUCUCCAAGCAAGGCAUGUUGAAGAAUGAUAAUAUCAGGAACAGUAAAGCUUCCACUAUUUCCACGACCAAUCAAGCAUCUACUAGCAAAUAUGGAAAAGUAGCGUAAAACAGGAAAGUGUAAGCUAGAGAUUUUUGCCUCGGAACCAUUCUUUGGCUCCUCUACAUCGAUAGUAUUAACAAAGCCAUCCACAUCUUUACGAUGGGGUUCCUCUAAUUCUCCCUCAUAAGGUAUCCUACACACCGCGCAAAAAUUACGUAAAGACAUUUCUCUGAAUUCAUCAUAUAAAUGAAAUGAUACUGCACGCGGUGACUUCUUAGGUUAAUAAUAAAAGUUUUGCACGAAAGUAUUAGUGAGUAAGAGAUACUGAUCGAUCCGGUCGUUGAUGAAACCGGUGAGGCCUGCAGUCUCGAUCAAAGAAUAAAAAUCUUCAUGAAUUCCAGCUUCUUUCAAGAAAUCAUUGCAUGGCCAUUCACACGACCGCACUUCCGCUAAGCGAGGAAGAUUAUACUUGGCUUUUUUCCUUCUCUUUAGCUUGUUUUUCCUGAGAGCUUUGGCUAGAAGAGCCCCUCAAAAGUUUCCUCAACAUUUUCUGAAAAUUUCUGAAAUUUUAGUAACUUCAAAAUAAAAGUGCAUAAAACUAAACAAGAUUGGCAGCAACUACUCCUACAAGUGCCUAGAGCCUAUAUCAUGCAUUAGAAUUGCUUGGGACCUCAUAAAUUUAACAUGCAAGCCCAAGAACAUGGUCACCAAUGCGGCAAAAAUUUGCAAUAAAUAAAGCACUAGAACAAAAACUAAUUGGACCAAUGGAGGAGGCACAUACCAAGCAACAAUCUCCCAAAGCAGUUUUGUGAAUGGAGCUUUGAGCAAGAAGAUCGAAAAUCGCAGCAAAAUGAGCUAGAACUCGUGCUUGAGCUGGAUGGGGAUUUUUUUGGGUAGAAGAUGAAGUGUGUGGGUGCUGGCAUAAGUGGAGGGGGGCACCAGGGGACCACGAGACAGGGGGGCGCACCCAGGGGGAGGGGGCGCGACCUCCACUCUCGUGGCCUGGUGCUUGCCCCUCCUGCAGUGUUUUCAGUGCCUAAAAUCCUCAAAUAUUCCAUAAAAAAUCAUACUAAAUUUGCAGGGCAUUUGGAGAACUUUUAUUUUCGGGAUAUUUUUUAAUGCACGGAUAAUUCAGAAAACAGACAGAUAAUACUAUUUUUUGCUUUAUUUAUUCCAAAUAACAGAAAGUAAACAGAGGGUACACAAGGUUGUGCCUUCUAAUUUCAUCCAUCUCAUGAUCAUCAAAAUGAAUCCACUAACAAGGUUGAUCAAGUCUUGUUAACAAACUCAUUUCGAAUAACACGGAACCGAAGAAAUUUCGAAUAACACUAAGUUACCUCAACGGGGAUAUGGAAAUCCCCAACAAUAAGAAUAUCAUACUUUUUCUUGACAGUAGGGAGAGGAAAUUCAAAACCUCCAAUAAUAAUAGUUGGAACUUUUCCAAUAGAAUUGAUGCUAUGAACUUGAGAUUGUUUCCUCGAAAAGUGUACCAUAUGCUCAUUACCAUUAACAUGGAAAGUGACAUUGCAUUUGUUGCAAUCAAUAACAGCCCCUGCAGUAUUAAGAAAAGGUCUACCAAGGAUAAUAGACAUACUAUCGUCCUCGGGAAUAUCAAGAAUAACAAAGUCCGUUAAAAUAGUGACAUUUGCAGCCACAACAGGCACAUCCUCACAAAUACCGACAGGUAUAGCAGUUGAUUUAUCAACCAUUUGCAAAGAUAUUUCAGUAGGUGUCAACUUAUUCAAUUCAAGUCUACGAUAUAAAGAGAGAGGCAUAACACUAACACCGGCUCCAAGAUCACAUAAAGCAGUUCUAACAUAAUUUCUUUUAAAGGAGCAUGGAAUAGUUAGCACACCCGGAUCUCCAAGUUUCUUUGGUAUUCCACCCUUAAAAGUGUAAUUAGCAAGCAUGGUGGAAAUCUCAGCUUCCGGUAUCUUUCUUUUAUUUGUAAUGAUAUCCUUUGUAUAGUUAGCAUAAGGAUUUACUUUCAGCAUAUCAGCUAAGCGCAUACGUAAGAAGAUAGGUCUAAUCAUUUCAGCAAAGCGCUCAAAAUCCUCAUCAUCCUUUGUCUUGGAUGGUUUAGGUGGAAAGGGCAUGGGUUUCUGAACCCAUGGUUCUCUUUCUCUAUCGUGCUUCCUAGCAACAAAAUCUCUCUUGUCAUAACGUUGAUUCUUUGAUUGUGGGUUAUCAAGAUCAACAGCAGGUUCAAUCUCUACUUCAUUGUUUUUGCUAGGUUGAGCAUCAACAUGAACAUUAUCAUUAACAUUAUCACUAGGUUCAUGUUCAUCACCUGAUUGUGUUUCAGCAUCAGAAAUAGAAAUAUUAUUGGGAUUCUCAAGUGUGUCUACAGUAGGUUCACUAGAAGCAUGCAAAGCUCUAUCAUUUUUCUUUUUCUUCUUUUUAGAAGAAAUAGGUGCUUCUAAAUUAUUUCUAUGAGAAUCUUGCUCGAUUCUCUUAGGGUGGCCUUCAGGAUACAAAGGUUCCCGAGUCAUUCUACCAGUUCUAGUAGCCACUCUAACAGCAAAGUCAUUCUUAUUAUUUAAUUCAUCAAGCAAAUCAUUUUGAGCUUUAAGUACUUGCUCAGCUUGAGUAGCAACCAUAGAGGUAUAUUUGCUAAUGAGUUUAAGUUCACCUUUAACUCUAGCCAUAUUAUUGCUCACGCGUCCCAUCUCGAAAGCAUUAUUCUUUAACUCUCUACCAACAUAAGCAAUAAACCUUUCUUGUCUAGCCAUAAAGUUGUGAAAUUCAUCUAAGCAAGGGCUAUGAAAUUUAGUAGAGGGUACUUCAACUUUAUCGUAUCUAUAGAGAGAAUUUACCUUUACUACCUGUGUCGGGUUAUCAAGACAAUGUGGUUCUUCAGGCGGUAAAUUAAGACCAUGUAUUUCUUCAAUAGGAGGUAAAUUCUUAACAUAUUCAACUUUAAUACCUUUUUCUUUCAUUGAUUUCUUUGCCCCUUGCAUAUCUUCAGGAUUGAGAAAUAAAACACCUCUCUUCUUCGGAGUUGGUUUAGGAAUAGGCUCAGGAGUUGGCUGAAUUGGUUCAGGAAUAUCUUCAGUAAUUGGCUCAGGAAGAGUCCAAUUAUUUUCAUUAGUCAACAUAUUAUUCAAUAAUAUUUCAGCUUCGUCGACUGUUCUUUCCCUGAAAACACAACCAGCACAACUAUCCAAGUGUUCCUUGGAAGCAUCGGUUAGUCCAUUAUAAAAGAUAUCAAGUAUUUCAUUUUUCUUAAGAGGAUGAUCAGGCAAAGCAUUAAGUAACCGGAGAAGCCUCCCCCAAGCUUGUGGGAGACUCUCUUCUUUGAUUUGCACAAAAUUAUAUAUUUCCCGCAAGGCAGCUUGUUUCUUAUGAGCAGGGAAAUAUUUAGCAGAGAAGUAAUAAAUCAUAUCCUGGGGAUUACGCACACAACCAGGAGCAAGAGAAUUAUACCAAGUCUUAGCAUCACCCUUUAAUGAGAACGGAAAUAUCUUAAGGAUAUAAUAAUAGCGAGACUUCUCAUCAUUAGUAAACAGGGUAGCUAUAUCAUUCAACUUGGUAAGAUGUGCCACAACAGUUUUAGAUUCAAGGCCAUAAAAAGGAUUAGAUUCAACUAAAGUAAUAAUCUCGGGAUCAACAGAGAAUUCAUAAUCCUUAUCAGUAACACAGAUAGGUGAAGUAGCAAAAGCAGGGUCAGGUUUCAUUCUAGCAUUAAGAGACUGCUGCUUCCAUUUAGCUAAUAAUUUCUUAAGAUCAUAUCUAUCAUUGCAAGCAAAGAUAGCUCUAGCUGCUUCUUCAUUCAUAACAUAACCCUCACGAACAACAGGCAAUUCAUAAUCAUUGGGAGAAUUUUCAUCAUCACUAUCAUCAAUAAUAGCAUCUUCAAUAAUUUCGUUUCCCCCAACUCUAGCAAGUUGUUCAUCAAGAAAUUCACCUAAUGGCAAAGUAGUAUCAUGCACAGAAGUAGUUUUAUCGUGCAUAGCAGAAGUGGCAUCAUCAAUAAAAUGCGACACACCAGAAUUCAUAGCAGUAGCAGGUUUAGGUGUCGCAAGCUUACUAAUAACGGAAGGAGAAUCUAGUGCAGAGCUAGAUGGCAGUUCCUUACCUCCCCUCGUAGUUGAGGGCAAAAUCGUAGUUCUGUCGUCUUUCAAGUUCUUCACAGUGAUCAACAGAUAUAAAUCCCAAGUGACUCAUAGAAUAGAGCUAUGCUCCCCGGCAACAGCGCCAGAAAUUAGUCUUGAUAACCCACAAGUGUAGGGGAUCGCAACAACUUUCGAGGGUAAAGUAUUCAACCCAAAUUUAUUGAUUCGACACAAGGGGAGCCAAAGAAUAUUCUUGAGUAUUAGCAGUUGAGUUGUAAAUUCAACCACACCUGGAUAACUUAGUAUCUGCAGCAAAGUGUUUAGUAGAAAAGUGGUAUGAUAAUAAAGGUAACGAUGGCAAAAGUAAAGAUAAUAGUUUUGUGGUUUUUGUAGUAGUUGUAACAGUAGUAACAGAAAAGUAAAUAAGCGAAGAACGAUAUGUGAAAAGCUCGUAGGCAAUGGAUCAAUGAUGGAUAAUUAUGCCAGAUGCGAUUCCUCAUGUAAUAGCUAUAACAUAGGGUGACAUAGAACUAGCUCCAGUUCAUCAAUGUAAUGUAGACAUGUAUUUCGUAAAUAGUCAUACGUGCUUAUGGAAAAGAACUUGCAUGACAUCUUUUGUCCUACCCUCCCGUGGCAGCGGGGUCCUAGCGGAAACUAAGGGAUAUUAAGGUCUCCUUUUAAUAGAGAACCGGAACAAAGCAUUAGCACAUAGUGAAUACAUGAACUCCUCAAACUAUGGUCAUCACCGAGAAGUAUCCCGAUUAUUGUCACUUCGGGGUUGUCGGAUCAUAACACAUAAUAGGUGACUAUAGACUUGCAAAAGAGGAUCAAGAACACACAUAUAUUCAUGAAAACAUAAUAGGUUCAGAUCUGAAAUCAUGGCACUCGGGCCCUAGUGACAAGCAUUAAGCAUAGCAAAGUCAUAGCAACAUCAAUCUCAGACCAUAGUGGAUACUAGGGAUCAAACCCUAACAAAACUAACUUGAUUACAUGGUAAAUCUCAUCCAACCCAUCACCGUCCAGCAAGCCUAUGAUGGAAUUACUCACGCACGGUGGUGACCAUCAUGAAAUUGGUGAUGGAGGAUGGUUGAUGAUGACGACGGCGACGAAUCCCCCUCUCCGGAGCCCCGAACGGACUCCAAAUCAACCCUCCCGAGAGAGAUUAGGGCUUGGCAGCGGCUCCGUGUCAUAAAACGCGAUGAAACUUUCUCUCUGAUUUUUUUCUCCCCGAACGUGAAUAUAUGGAGUUGGAGUUGAGGUCAGUGGAGGUCCAGGGGGCCCACGAGAUAGGGGGCGCGCCCAGGAGGGGGGGUGUGCCCCCCUGUCUCGUAGACUGGGUGUGGGCCCCCUGGUGUAUUUCUUUCGCCCAAUAAUUCUUAUUAAUUCCAAAAAGUGCCUCCGUGGAUUUUCAGGACAUUCCGAGAACUUUUCUUUUCUACACAUAAAACAACAUCAUGGCAGUUCUGCUGAAAACAACGUCAGUCCGGGUUAGUUUCAUUCAAAUCAUGCAAGUUAGAGUCCAAAACAAGGGAAAAAGUGUUUGGAAAAGUAGAUACGUUGGAGACGUAUCAGUGACAUUAGGGUUUUGGUUGAUUUGUGUCUUAAGGUGUUAUUCUAGUAUGAACUCUUUAAUAGAUCGAUCCGAAAGAAUAACUUUGAGGUGGUUUCAUACCCUACCAUAAUCUCUAUGUUUGUUCUCCGCUAUUAGUGGCUUUGGAGUGACUCUUUGUUGCAUGUUGAGGGAUUGUUAUAUGAUCUAUCUAUGUUAUUAUUGUUGAGAGAACUUGCACUAGUGAAAGUAUGAACCCUAUGCCUUGUUUCCUAUCAUUGCAAUACCGUUUACACUCACUUUUAUCAUUAGUUACCUUUCUUUUUUUAUAUUUUCAGAUUACAAAUACCUUUAUCUACCGUCCAUAUUGCACUUGUAUCACCAUCUCUUCGCCAAACUAGUGCACCUAUACAAUUUGCCAUUGUAUUGGGUGUGUUGGGGACACAAGAGACGCUUUGUUAUUUGGUUGCAGGGUUGUUUGAGAGAGACCAUCUUCAUCCUACGCCUCCCACGGAUUGAUAAACCUUAGGUCAUCCACUUGAGGGAAAUUUGCUACUGUCCUACAAACCUGUGCACUUGCAGGCCCAACAACGUCUACAAGAAGAAGGUUGUGUAGUAGACAUCAGUCAUCGGUAUGUAACUUGCCCGAGAUUCGAUCGUCGGUAUCUCAAUACCUAGUUCAAUCUCAUUACCGGCAAGUCUCUUUACUCCUUACGUAAUGCAUCAUCCCAUGACUAACUCAUUAGCUACAUUGCUUGCAAGGCUUAUAGUGAUGUGCAUUACCGGGAGGGCCUAGAGAUACCUCUCCGACAAUCGGAGUGACAAAUCCUAAUCUCGAAAUACGUCAACUCAACAAGUACCUUCGGACACACCUGUAGUGCACCUUUAUAAUCACCCAGUUACAUUGUGACGUUUGGUAGCACACAAAGUGUUCCUCCGGUAAACGGGAGUUACAUAAUCUGAUAGUCAUAGGAACAUGUAUAAGUCAUGAAGAAAGCAAUAGCAACAUACUAAAUGAUCAAGUGCUAAGCUAACGAAAUGGGUCAAGUCAAUCACAUCAUUCUCCUAAUGAUGUGAUCCCACUGAUCAAAUGAUAACUCAUAUCUAUGGUUAGGAAACUCAACCAUCUUUGAUCAAUGAGCUAGUCAAGUAGAGGCAUACUAGUGACACUAUGUUUGUCUAUGUAUUCACACAUGUAUUAUGUUUCCGGUUAAUACAAUUCUAGCAUGAAUAAUAAACAUUUAUCAUGAUAUGAGGAAAAAAAUAAUAACUUUAUUAUUGCCUCUAGGGCAUAUUUCCUUCAGGUGCACCCCUGCUCUCCCUCUCGUCCGUACCCGUCCUCCAGCUCCUCCCCGCUGCCGCCAGCGGGAGCCCCCAGUGCUGGUUCGGGUGGUGUCGGCGGCGGCGGGACCUCCUGUCCCCGCGCGCGCGGCUCCCCUUCCCGGGGCAGGGGACGGCGAUGGUGCUGCUCGGCUAGGCGGCGGCCCGGUGACCCGGCGGCGGGCAAGGUGGUGGUGCUGCCCCUUGGCAGCGGGGCGGCGAGGUGACGUGCGGUGGCCGGCAGCGUGCCGCCGACCCAGAUCUGGCCCCUCCCGGGCCCAUCUGGGUCCUAGCAGGCUGGCCAUUGGCGUGGCUUUGACGUCCUCUAUGUGGCGCGGAGGAGGAUCAACUAGGACUCAUGGUGGUGGCACCGACGGCGUGCCUUCUGCAGCGUGACGGCGAGAGCUUUACGGGAAUUUGUGGACCCGGCCGGGCCUGUGGGCCUACGGGCCUGGUAUGCUCCUGCUGUAGUGUCCGGUCGGUUACUGUCAUUGACGGUGGAGGUUGGGCCCUCCCACGUGCCGACGAUGUUGAUGUCCUGAGUCCCGGCUCCUCCUCUUCGUUGACGGUGGCGUGGUGAGAUGGCGCAGAAGCUUCAAGACCGUUUUGGCGCGGAGUGGUGGUUUGUUUGGUGGCGUGCUCCGGAGCGCCCGAGGUGAAGGUUGGGAUCGGGAGAAAUCCCUGUCGGCCGAGCCGACACCGACGCGGUGGUGCCUGAGGGUGCCGCCGGACCUUCCUGGAGGGUGUCGGGGGUACCCUCCCUCUAUCCUCAUCGCGUAUGGGGGAAAACCCUUGGCAGCAGCGUCGUCAUCGUCGCGUCCCUUCUUGGAGAUGUUGAUUCGUACCGGCGCUUCGGAGUAUAGGAGCCCCGGUGGGCGCGGCGGUCUUGAAGCUUCUUCGUUUUUGUUGAUCCGUCGGUGUCAGCAUUUGUUUCUUUUCUUUUUCUCUUUCAUUUCUUUUGGGCGUGCCUAUGCUGCUUCCGCCCCAGCACCUAUCUGGUUGUAUCGGUGAUGUUUGCUUUGUAAUACAAAGCGGGGGAAAACCCUAUUCCGUCAUCACUGGAAAACAUUGGUCCGUGAGUGAUACACGGAGGCGUAGUCCAUCCAGUUUGAUGUUGUGCUCUUCACAGUAAUUCUGGACCUUUUUUCUCCUGUUGUCCGUGAUAAUGAUAUGGGGCAUGCCGUGCCGAUGAAUCACACCGGAUAUGAAUUUAAUGACCGGCUCCGCAGCUUGGCUAGUGACUGGGUUUCGAUCCACUUGGUGAACUUGUCGACCAUGACAAGGAGGUAUUUAUUAUCACCUUCACCGGUACGAAGAGGCCCGGUCAUGUCCAGCCCCUAGAUUGUGAACGUCCAGGUUAUGGGAAUCGUUUUAAGAGAUAUGGCUAGUAAGUGGCUGGUUUAAGCAAAUAGCUGGCACCCCAUCCCCAAGCAGUUUUGGACAAGGUUCGUGGUGUCUGCUCUUGGCGUAGGCCAAUAGAAGCCAACGCGAUAGGCCUUGCUCACCAGGGUCUGAGGGGCCGUGUGAUGACCGCUAGUGCUGGAGUGAAUCUCGUGAAUGAGUUGUCGGCCCUCUUCUAGAGAAAUACAAUGUUGGAAAACUCCAAUAACGAUGUGCUUAUACAACUCUCCUUCGUGCUUGGCAUAAGCGGUAGCUCAACGAACUAUAUGUCAGACUCGUGUCACGUCCUUGGGUAACUCCUUCCAGAGUAGGUAAGCCAGGAUAGGCUCAUUCCAUGCCGGGAUAACCGCCAUCAUUUCAUGGAUCGAGGAAGUUAGUUCUUUGUCCCAACCCCCGAUCCCAGCGAUGCCGGGAUCUAGGUCCAUGGGCAUCUUGAGGCCGGGGUUGGAGGCCCCCGUCCUCAGAGGCCGGUGUUUGCCCGACCUGCAUCUUGAUGGAGGGCUUGAAGAGCUGCUCGUUGAAUGCAUUUGUGGGCACGCGGUCACAUCGGCCCGCUUGGUUGCUAUCAUGCUGGACGUGGUGAAACUCUAGGCCAUCGGAGCAAGCAGACAUUUUCUUGACCGCAUCCCGGUAUGAUGUUAUCUUUGGGUCCUUGGCGUUGAAACUGCCAUUGAUAUGUGAGAUUGUGAGGUUAGAAAUGUUAAGCUUCAUGCACUAGUCAACGCAACCAAAAGUCGGAAUUGAUGGAAAGAGCUAGGCAAUCCAUAUAUAUACUUCAGCACCGCCUCUUACGUGUGGCGUGGGAAGUCAACAUGUGAAUAGACUUAGAGGUAUGGCUCAAGAGGCCUAUACGUGGACCUAGAGGGGGCAGCAACAAUUUUCAAUAAAUUGCGAAAGUCCGGACUUGAACUCAAGACCUUAGACUCUGAUACCAUGUUAAGCUUCAUGCACUAGCCAACACAACCAAAAUUCCAAACUUUUGGUUGCGUUGGCUAGUACAUGAAGCUUAACAUGGUCUGCGGAGACGCAGGGCGAAACAUUGUUGUCGCAUGCCGUGUUACAGAGGAGAGGCGCAAGGGAAUAGAUCAUACAAUUCACAGCUCCCCAAUCGGACGACCUAGGAGGUGACCGGCCAAAGCUUACGUCGGUCGAGCGACACCUAGCAUCAUCACCCAAAUCAAAAGACAACCAUGAACUAAUGACGACAAAUUUUCUGUUGGGUAAAAUAGCAUGUUAUUAAUAUGGGGUUGAUACAUCUCCAACGUAUCUAUAAUUUUUGAUUGUUCCAUGCUAUUAUAUUACCCCUUUUGGAUGUUUAUGGGCUUUAUUUUACACAUUUAUAUCAUUUUUGGGACUAACCUACUAACCGGAGGCCCAACCCGUAUUGCUGUUUUUUUGCCUAUUUCAGUAUUUCAAAGAAAAGGAAUAUCAAAUGGAGUCCAAACGGAAUGAAACCUUCGGGAGCGUGAGUUUUGGAACGAACGUGCUUCAAAGAGCUUGGAGUGCGAUACGUCUCCAACGUAUCUACUUUUCAAAACACUUUUGCCCUUGUUUUGGACUCUAACUUGCAUGAUUUGAAUGAAACUAACCUGGGCUGACGCUGUUUUCAGCAGAACUGCCAUGAUGUUGUUUUAUGUGUAGAAAAGAAAAGUUCUCGGAAUGUCCUGGAAAUCCAUGGAGGCACUUUUCAGAAUUAAUAAGAAUUUUUGGCGAAAGAAUCAAGGCCAGGGGGGCCACGGCCUGUCCACGAGACAUGGCCCCCCCUAGAGUGCACCCUCCUAUCUCGUGGGCCCCUUGGACACCUCCCGACCUCAACUCAAACUCCAUAUAUACCGUCUCUGGGAGAAAAAAAAUCAAGGAGAAAGUUUCAUCGGGUUUCACGACACGGAGCCGCCGCCAAGCCCUAAUCUCUCUCGGGAGGGCUGAUCUGGAGUCCGUUCGGGGCUCCGGAGAGGGGGAUUCGUCACCGUUGUCAUCAUCAACCAUCCUCCAUCACCAAUUUCAUGAUGCUCACCGCCGUGCGUGAGUAAUUCCAUCGUAGGCUUGCUGGACGGUGAUGGGUUGGAUGAGAUUUACCAUGUAAUCAAGUUAGUUUUGUUAGGGUUUGAUCCCUAGUAUCCACUAUGUUCUGAGAUUGAUGUUGCUAUGACUUUGCUAUACUUAAUGCUUGUCACUAGGGCCCGAGUGCCAUGAUAUCAUAUAUUAACCUAUUAUGUUUUCAUGAAUAUAUGUGUGUUCUUGAUCCUAUCUUGCAAGUCUAUAGUCACCUAUUAUGUGUUAUGAUCCAACAACCCCGAAGUGACAAUAAUCGGGAUACUUCUGGUGAUGACUGUAGUUUGAGGAGUUCAUGUAUUCACUAUGUGCUAAUGCUUUGUUCCGGUUCUCUAUUAAAAGGAGGCCUUAAUAUCCCUUAGUUUCCGUAACGACCCCGCUGAACACGGGAGGGUAGGACAAAAGAUGUCAUGCAAGUUGUUUUGCAUAAGCACGUAUGACUAUUUAUGGAAUACAUGCCUACAUUACAUUGAUGAAUUGGAGCUAGUUCUAUAUCACCCUAUGUUAUAACUAUUGCAUGAGGAAUCGCAUCCGGCAUAAUUAUCCAUCAUUGAUCCAUUGCCUAUGAGCUUUUCAUAUAUUGUUCUUCGUUUAUUUACUUUUCCGUCGCUACUAUUACAACCACUACAAAAACUCAAAAACAUUUAUCUUUACUUGUGCUACCGCUACUAUUAUUAUCAUACCACUUUUGCUACUAAACACUUUGCUGCAGAUACUAAGUUAUCUAGGUGUGGUUGAAUUGACAACUCAACUGCUAAUACUCAAGAAUAUUCUUUGGCUCCCCUUGUGUCGAAUCAAUAAAUUUGGGUUGAAUACUCUACCCUCGAAAGCUGUUGCGAUCCCCUAUACUUGUGGGUUAUCAAGACUAAUUUCUGCCGCCGUUGUCGGGGAGCAUAGCUCUAUUCUCUGAGUUACUUGGGAUUUAUAUCUGUUGAUCACUAUGAAGAACUUGAAAGAUGAUUGAACUACUAUUUUUCCCUCAACUACGAGGGGAGGUAAGGAACUGCCAUCUAGCUCUGCACUAGAUUCUCCUUUCGUUAUAAGUAAUCUUGCGACACCUAAUCCUGCUACUGCUAUGAAUUCUGAUAUGCCGCAUGUUAUUGAUGAUGCCACUUCUGCUAUGCAUGAUGAAACUACUUCUGUGCUUGAUACUACUGUGCCAUUAGGUGAAUUUCUAGAUUUACAACUUGCUAGAUUUAGGGGGAAUGAAAAUAUUGAAGAUCCUAUUACUGAUGAUAGUGAUGAUGAAGGUCCCCCCAAUGAUUAUGUUUUACCUAUUGUUCCUAAGGGUUAUGUUAUGCAUGAAACAGCUGCUAUGGAAAUUCUUGCUUGCAAUGAUAGAAAUGAUCUUAAGAAAUUAUUUGCUAAAUGGAAGCAGCAGUCUCUUAAUGCUAGAAUGAAACCUGAUCCUGCUUUUGCUACUUCACCUAUCUGUGUUACUGAUAAGGAUUAUGAAUUCUCUGUUGAUCCUGGUAUUAUUACUUUAGUUGAAUCUGAUCCUUUUUAUGGCCUUGAAUCUGAAACUGUUGUGGCACAUCUUACCAAGUUGAAUGAUAUAGCCACCCUAUUUACGCAUGAUGAGAGGUCUCGCUAUUUAUAUAUCCUUAAGAUAUUUCCAUUCUCAUUAAAGGGUGAUGCUAAGACUUGGUAUAAUUCUCUUGCUCCUGGUUGUGUGCGUAGUCCCCAGGAUAUGAUUUAUUACUUCUCUGCUAAAUAUUUCCCUGCUCAUAAGAAACAAGCUGCCUUGCGGGAAAUAUAUAAUUUUGUGCAAAUCAAAGAAGAGAGUCUCCCACAAGCUUGGGGGAGACUUCUCCGGUUACUUAAUGCUUUGCCUGAUCAUCCUCUUAAGAAAAAUGAAAUACUUGAUAUCUUCUAUAAUGGACUAACCGAUGCUUCCAAGGACUACUUGGAUAGUUGUGCUGGUUGUGUUUUCAGGGAAAGCAUAGUCGACGAAGCUGAAAUAUUAUUGAAUAAUAUGUUGACUAAUGAAAAUAAUUGGACUCUUCCUGAGCCAGUUCCUGAAGUAAUUCCUGAACCAAUUGAGCCAACUCUUGAGCCUAUUCCUAAACCCACUCCGAAGAAGAGAGGUGUUUUAUUUCUCAGUCCUGAAGAUAUGCAAGAGUCAAAGAAAUCAAUGAAAGAAAAAGGUAUUAAAGCUGAAGAUGUUAAGAAUUUACCUCCUAUUGAAGAAAUACAUGGUCUUAAUUUACCGCCUGAAGAACCACAUUUUCUUGAUAACCCGACACAGGUAGUAAAGGUAAAUUCUCUCUAUAGAUAUGAUAAAGUUGAAGUACCCUCUACUAAAUUUCAUAGCCCUUGCUUAGAUGAAUUUGAUGACUUUAUGGCUAGACAAGAAAGUUUUAAUGCUUAUGUUGGUAGAUAAUUAAAGAGCAAUGCUUAUGUUGGUAGAGAGCUAAAGAAUAAUGCUUUUGAGAUAGGACGCGUAGGUGAUAAUCUGGCUAGAGUUAAAGAUGAACUUCAUCGCGUUAGCAAAUAUGCUUCUAUGGUUGCUACUCAAGCUGAGCAAGUACUUAAAGCUCAAAAUGAUUUGCUUGAGGAAUUAAAUAAUAAAAAUGACUUUGCUGUUAGAGUGGCUACUAGAACUGGUAGAAUGACUCAGGAACCUUUGUAUCCUGAAGGACACCCUAAGAGAGUCGAGCAAGAUUCUCAGAGAAAUAAUUUAGAGGCACCUAGUUCUUCUAAAAAGAAGAAAAAGAAAAAUGAUAGAACUUUGCAUGCUUCUAGUGACCUACUGUAGACACACAUGAGAAUCCCAAUGAUAUUUCUAUCUCUGAUGCUGAAACACAAUCAGGUGAUGAACAUGAACCUAGUGAUAAUGUUAAUGAUAAUGUUCAUGUUGAUGCUCAACCUAGCAAAGACAAUGAUGUAGAGAUUGAACCUGCUGUUGAUCUUUAUAACCCACAAUCAAAGAAUCAACAUUAUGAUAAGAGAGAUUUUGUUGCUAGGAAACACGGUAAAGAAAGAGAACCAUGGGUUCAGAAACCCAUGCCCUUUCCUCCUAAACCAUCCAAGUCAAAGGAUGAUGAGGAUUUUGAGCGCUUUGCUGAAAUGAUUAGACCUAUUUUCUUACAUAUGCGCUUAACUGAUAUGUUUAAAGUAAAUCCUUAUGCUAAAUAUAUGAAGGAUAUCAUUACAAAUAAAAGAAAGAUACCGAAAGCUGAAAUUUCCACCAUGCUUGCUAAUUACACUUUUAAGGGUGGAAUACCAAAGAAACUUGGAGAUCCGGGUGUACCAAAUAUACCAUGUUCCAUUAAAAGAAAUUAUAUUAGAACUGCAUUAUGUGAUCUUGGAGCCGGUGUUAGUGUUAUGCCUCUCUCUUUAUAUCGUAGACUUGAAUUGAAUAAGUUGACACCUACUGAAAUAUCUUUGCAAAUGGCCGAUAAAUCAACUGCUAUAGCUGUCGGUAUUUGUGAGGAUGUGCCUGUUGUGGUUGCAAAUGUCACUAUCUUAACGGACUUUGUUAUUCUUGAUAUUCCCGAGGACGAUAGUAUGUCUAUUAUCCUUGGUAGACCUUUUCUUAAUACUACAGGGUUUGUUGUUGAUUGCAACAAAGGCAAUGUCACUUUUCAUGUUAAUGGUAAUGAGCAUACGGUACACUUUCCGAGGAAACAAUCUCAAGUUCAUAGCAUCAAUUCUAUUGAAAAAGUUCCAACUAUCAUUUUUGGAGGUUUUGAAUUUCCUCUCCCUACUGUCAAGAAAAAGCAUGAUAUUCUUAUUGUUGGGGAUUUUCAUAUCCCCGUUGAGGUAACUUAGUGUUAUUCGAAGUUUCUUCGGUUCCGUGUUAUUUGGAAUGAGUUUGUUAACAAGACUUGAUCAGCCUUGUUAGUGGAUUCAUUUUGAUGAUCACGAGAUGGAUGAAACUAGAAGGCACAACCUUCUGUACCCACUUUUUACUUUCUGUUAUUUAGAAUAAAUAAAGCAAAAAUAGUAUUAUCUGUCUGUUUUCUGAAUUAUCCGUGCAUUAAAAAAUAGUCUGAAAAUAAAAGUGCUCCAAAUGCUCUGCAAAUUUAGUAUGAUUUUUUUCUGGAACAUUUAAGGAUUUUAGGCACUGAAAACACUGCAAAAGGGGCAAGCACCAGGCCACGAGAGAGGAGGGCGUGCCCCCCUUGUAGGGUGUGCCCCCUGUCUCGUGGGCCCCUGGUGGCUCCCCUCCACUUAUGCCAGCACCCACACACUUCAUCUUCUACCCAAAAAUCCCCAUCCAGCUGAAACCCAAGUUCUAGCUCGUUUUGCUGCGAUUUUCGAUCUCUUAGCUCAAAGCUCCAUUCGCAAAACUGCUUUGGGAGAUUGUUGCUUGGUAUGGGACUCCUCCAUUGGUCCAAAUAGUUUUUGUUCUAGUGCUUUAUUCAUUGCAAAUUUGUGCUGCAUAGGUGACCAUGUUCUUGAGAUUGCAUGUUAAAUUUUUGAGGUCCCAAGCAAUUCCACUGCAUGAUAUAGGCUCUUGCCACUUGUAGGAGUAGUUGCUAUCAAUCUUGUUUAGUUUUAUUCACUUUUAUUUUGAAGUUACUAAAAAUUUCAGAAAUUUUCAGAAAAAGAAAUAUGCUUAGAAGAUGUACCAAGGUGGUUCCUCGGCAAAGAAAGGGCCAAGAAUUGCUAUACGUGAACAAGAUGUUAAUUUGCCAAGGGACGCAAAUGUACGGGCUUGCGAGUGGCCAUCCGAUGAUUUUAUGGUUGAAGCAGGCUUCAAGGGGGAAUUUGACGCGUAUGUGCGUAAUGCUGAGCUUGAGGACUUCUUACAAGAUAAGUGUCCCCAAUAUUAUCAAUUGACUGAUUUCUUUGUGCGGAGGUUCGAAUAUAUUUCUUCGCGUAAUUCUCCUAGUGUUAUGUUUGAUAUUUAUGAUACAUCUUAUACCAUGGAUUUAGAGGAUUUCACAACUACUUGCAAACUCCCGUAGUGGGGUAAUAUUAAUGAUCCUCCCAAAUCUGAAGUUAGAGAUUUUCUUGCUAGUAUUACUGUGGGAGAAUCUAGGGACGUAACACAAGCUACCAUAGGGAGCAUUCAUUUUCCUGCUAUACAUUACUUUGCUCUCUUUAUUGGUAGAUGCAUUAACGGUAAGGACGAAGUAUGUCACAUGUGUGCCCCUGAUCUUUGUGUCCUCAAGAGUGAUGUGUCAAGUUAUAGAGGUUAUAACUUGGGGGCAAUAGUUGCACGUAGGUUGCAUAAUAAUAAUAGAAGGGGAGAUUUCUUUAGAGGAAUUUAUGCAACCCGUGUGGCUAAUUUUCUUAAUAUAGCCCCACAAGAGGGGGAUAUGAUUGUACUUCCUGUUUAUUUGGAUAAAGAAGCUAUGUUUGAUCAUCAUUUUCUUGAGAGGAAUGAGCAAUUCCUCCAUUAUCAACUAACCUAUAACAGACGCAACAUCGUCCCUGUUACUCUUCCUGCUCCAUACCUUUUUGAUUAUCAGACAAAAGGAAGAUAUGUUGUCACCAGGGAAGAAGCCACCGAAUAUGAGAGGGGAAUGGAGGCAGCUCGCCAACACGCUGUUGCUUAGGAGGUGGUCGCCUCUUCAUCUCAGUACUACCCCGGCUACUCUUAUGGAUAUCAGCCAGGCGGUCAUUGGUAUUAUACCAACUUAGGCCAAAAGCCUAAGCUUGGGGGAGUACAUAUUUCUCACCGACUUUACAUUCAUGUCCACACACUAGUCGUCGGUGCUCACACUCUUUCAUUGUAUUAUCCAUGUUAGUUUAAAUUUCUUUUUCUAGUUUUCUUCUUGUGUAUUUGUUAAACCUUAAGAAAAACCAAAAAAAUUAGUUAGUUUAAUUUCCUUUCUUUUAGUAGAAAUUAAAAUGAAAAAAAAUGAAAAAACCAAAAAGAUUUCUCGUUCUUCUUUUACUUGUUGGGAGAUUUCUCGUGUAAAUAGUUUUAUUUUCUUUUCUUUCUUUUGGGGGUCGAGAAGACUAUAUUGAAAAUGCUUAGUGGCUCUUAUAUGCAUGAUUGUUUAUUUAACUUAGAUCCCACAUUACUUGUCUUAUCUCUUGAGUUGAAUGCUUGCAGAUUCCAGCUUAGUCCAAUGCACGUGCACUCUUAUUAUUAUACACAUCGUUCGGUCGUGCAAGUGAAAGGCAAUAAUGAUGAUAUAUGAUGGACUUAUUGGGAUGAAAAAGCUGGUAUGAACUCGACCUCUCUUGUUUUUGUAAAUAUGAUGAGUUCAUCAUUCCUGAGUCAGCUAUUAUGAAGUAAACAUAUUUGCAAUGACAUUUAGAGAUUAUAGUUGCUUGUGCCAUGCUUGAUUAGCUAUGAGUUAUAAUGGUUUACCUUGUGUGCCAACAUGCUAUUAGAAUGAUUAUGAUGUGGUAUGAUGGGAUGGUACCCUCCUUUGAAUGUAUUAAGUGACUCGACUUGGCACAUGUUCACACAUGUAGUUGAAUCAAAUCAACAUAGCCUUCAUGAUAUUUAUGUUCAUGGCAGAUUAUAUCCUACUCAUGCUUGUACUCGGUGUAAAUUAAUUUUAAUGCAUGUUUACGACUGUUGUCGCUCUCUCAGUUGGUCACUCCCCAGUCUUUUGCUAGCCUUCACCUGUACUAAGCGGGAAUACUGCUUGUGCAUCCAAACUCCUUAAACCCCAAAGUUGUUCCAUAUGAGUCCACUAUACCUUCCUAUAUGCGGUAUUUACCUGCCGUUCCAAGUAAAUUUGUAUGUGCCAAACUCCAAACCUUCAAAUGAAAUUCUGUUUUGUAUGCUCGAGCAGCUCAUGCUUCAACUAGGGCUGCCUAUAUCUUCCAUGCUAGGUGGGUUAUUCUCAAGAGGAGUGGACUCCACUCCUCAUUCAUGAGAAAGGGCCGGUAACCGGGAUGCACAGUCCCAUGAUCCAAAAAGAUCAAAGCAAAUCAAAAUAAUUAAACAAAACUCCCCCAGGGCAGUUGUAUGUUGGAGGCACUCGUUGUUUCGAGCAAGCCAUGGAUUGAUGCUUGUUGGUGGUUGGCGGAGUAUAAACCUUUACCAUUCUGUUUGGGAACUGUCUAUAAUGCAUGUAGUAUGGAAGAUACAUCCAUCUCAUAGUUGUUGCGUUGACAACAAAAGUAUGCCGCUCAAAAUGUUAUUCAAUCUCUAUUUUAAAAUCGAGCUCUAGCACCUCUACAAAUCCCUGCUUCCCUCUGUGAAGGGCCUAUCUAUUUACUUUUAUGUUGAGUCAUCACCCUUCUUAUUAAAAAGCACCCGCUGGAGAGCACACUGUCAUUUGCAUUCAUUAUUAUUGGUUUAUAUUGGGUAUGACUUGACUAGAUCUCUUUUACCAUGAAUUACAAUGUUUAGUCACUCCUUGAUCUUUAAAGGUGCUCUGCAUUUAUGUUUUGCGGUCUCAGAAAGGGCUAGCGAGAUACAAUUUUGUUAUAUCAUGUUAUGAUUAUUUUGAGAAAGUGUUGUCAUCCGAGUUUUAUUAUUAUAGCUCGCUAGCUGAUUAUGUUAUUGAUAUGAGUAGUUGUGAGACCUAUGUGUUAUUAUUAGUAUGGUUAGUUCAUAAUAUUUGCUGAAACUUGAAUGCUGGCUUUUCAUGUUACAACAACAAGAGCAAACAGAGUUUGUAAAAGUUUUUCUUUAUCACUUUCAGUUUAUCAACUGAAUUGCUUGAGGACAAGCAAAUGUUUAAGCUUGGGGGAGUUGAUACGUCUCCAACGUAUCUACUUUUCCAAACACUUUUGCCCUUGUUUUGGACUCUAACUUGCAUGAUUUGAAUGAAACUAACCCGGACUGACGCUGUUUUUAGCAGAACUACCAUGAUGUUGUUUUAUGUGUAGAAAAGAAAAGUUCUCGGAAUGUCCUGGAAAUCCACGGAGGCACUUUUCAGAAUUAAUAAGAAUUUUUGGCGAAAGAAUCAAGGCCAGGGGGCCCACGGGCUGUCCACGAGACAGGCCCCCCCCUAGGGCGCGCCCUCCUAUCUCGUGGCCCCCCUGGACACCUCCCGACCUCAACUCCAACUCCAUAUAUACCGUCUCAGGGAGAAAAAAUCAAGGAGAAAGUUUCAUCGUGUUUCAUGACACGGAGCCACCGCCAAGCCCUAAUCUCUCUCGGGAGGGCCGAUCUGGAGUCUGUUCGGGGCUCCGGAGAGGGGGAUUCGUCGCCGUCAUCAUCAUCAACCAUCCUCCAUCACCAAUUUCAUGAUGCUCACCAUCGUGCGUGAGUAAUUCCAUCGUAGGCUUGCUGGACGGUGAUGGGUUGGAUGAGAUUUACCAUGUAAUCAAGUUAGUUUUGUUAGGGUUUGAUCCCUAGUAUCCACUAUGUUCUGAGAUUGAUGUUGCUAUGACUUUGCUAUGCUUAAUGCUUGUCACUAGGGCCCGAGUGCCAUGAUUUUAGAUCUGAACCUAUUAUGUUUUCAUGAAUAUAUGUGUGUUCUUGAUCCUAUCUUGCAAGUCUAUAGUUACCUAUUAUGUGUUAUGAUCCGACAACCCUGAAGUGACAAUAAUCGGGAUACUUCUCAGUGAUGACCGUAGUUUGAGGAGUUCAUGUAUUCACUAUGUGCUAAUGCUUUGUUCCGGUUCUCUAUUAAAAGGAGGCCUUAAUAUCCCUUAGUUUCCGUAAGGACCCCACUGAACACAGGAGGGUAGGACAAAAGAUGUCAUGCAAGUUCUUUUCCAUAAGCACGUAUGACUAUUUACGGAAUGCAUGCCUACAUUACAUUGAUGAAUUGGAGCUAGUUCUAUAUCACCCUAUGUUAUAACUAUUGCAUGAGGAAUCGCAUCCGGCAUAAUUAUCCAUCAUUGAUCCAUUGCCUAAGAGCUUUUCAUAUAUUGUUCUUCGUUUAUUUACUUUUCCGUUGCUACUGUUACAACCACUACAAAAACCCAAAAACAUUUAUCUUUACUUUUGCUACCGCUACUAUUAUCAUCAUACCACUUUUGCUACUAAACACUUUGCUGCAGAUACUAAGUUAUCCAGGUGUGGUUGAAUUGACAACUCAACUGCUAAUACUCAAGAAUAUUCUUUGGCUCCCCUUGUGUCGAAUCAAUAAAUUUGGGUUGAAUACUCUACCCUCGAAAGCUGUUGCGAUCCCCUAUACUUGUGGGUUAUCAGAGUGCAAGUCAAGAAGCAGCCGAGGAAGCCACGAGAUAGGAGGCCGCCCCCCUGUAGGGUGCGCCCCCUGUCUCGUGGGCCCCUCGGGCGGCCACCGACGUACUUCUUCCUACUAUAUAUACCUACAUACCCCGAAAACAUCCAGGGGCACCAUGAAACACAAUUUCCACCACGUAACCUUCUGUAUCCACAAGAUCCCAUCUUGGAGCCUUCACCGGCACUCUGCCGGAGGGGGAAUCGACCAUGGAGGGCUUCUACAUCAACAUCCUUGCCCCUCCGAUGAGUCGUGAGAAGUUUACCACGGACCUACGGGUCCAUAGUUAUUAGCUAGAUGGCUUCUUCUCUCUUUUUGGAUCUCAAUACAAUGUUCUCCCCCUCUCUUGUGGAGAUCUAUUCGAUGUAAACUCUUUUUGCGGUGUGUUUGUCGAGAUUCAAUGAAUUGUGGGUUUAUGAUCAAGUUUAUCUAUGAAUUAUAUUUGAAUCUUCUCUGAAUUCUUUUAUGUAUGAUUGAGUUAUAUUUGCAAGUCUCUUCGAAUUAUCAGUUUGGUUUGGCCUACUAGAUUGAUCUUUCUUGCCAUGGGAGAAGUGCUUAGCUUUGGGUUCAAUUUUGCGGUGUCCUGACCCAGUGACAGAAAGGGUUGCAAGGCACGUAUUGUAUUGUUGCCAUCGAGGAUAACAAGAUGGGGUUUAUAUCAUAUUGCUUGAGUUUAUCCCUCCACAUCAUGUCAUCUUGCUUAAUGCGUUACUCUGUUCUUAUGAACUUAAUACUCUAGAUGCAUGCUGGAUAGCAGUCGAUGUGUGGAGUAAUAGUAGUAGAUGCAGGCAGGAGUCGGUCUACUUGUUAUGGACGUGAUGCCUAUAUACAUGAUCAUGCCUAGAUAAUCUCAUAACUAUGCGCUUUUCUAUCAAUUGCUCGACAGUAAUUUGUUCACCCACCGUAAUACUUAUGCUAUCUUGAGAGAAGCCACUAGUGAAACCUAUGGCCCCCGGGUCUAUCUCUUAUCAUAUUUGCUUUCAAUCUUCUUUUAUUUGCAUCUUUACCUUUUGCAUCUAUAUUAUAAAAUGCCAAAAAUAUAUUUAUCUUAUCAUACUAUCUUUAUUAGAUCUCACUUUCGCAAGUGGCCGUGAAGGGAUUGACAACCCCUUUAUUGCGUUGGUUGCGAGUUCUCAGUUUGUUUGUGUAGGUACGUGGGACUUUUGAGGAUCCUCCUACUGGAUUGAUACCGAGGGAAAUACUUACGCUACACUUGCUGCAUCACCCUCUCCUCUUCGAGGAAAACCAACGCAAGCUCAAGACGUAGCAAGAAGGAUUUCUGGCGUCGUUGCCGGGGAGGUCUUCGCUCAAGUCAAGACAUACCAAGUACCCAUCACAAACCCAUCUCCCUCGCAUUUACAUUAUUUGCCAUUUGCCUCUCGUUUUCCUCUCCCCCACUUCACCCUUGUCGUUUUAUUUGCCCUCUCUUUCCCAAUCUCCUCCUCUCUUUUUCUCUCGCUUUCUUCCGCCUUGCUUUUGUUUGCCGCUAUGUCUGAAUUUGGGGAGAUUAUCGUCGAUAUGGACAAUAAUGAUAACACAGAAAAUCCCGAGGCUCCGGCCGAUGAACCCCCUAUCUUGCAUACUAAAAAGUUUCGAAUCGGUAGUGGUAACAUCAUUGGCAAAGGUGUUAUUCAAGACUUCUUUACUUGUGCCGGUGCUUUACCUUCCAUGGGUUGUUCUAUUCUUCAUAGAACUAGUAGCCUUGCGGAUGCUAUCGCUAUGCUUGUAGUUGAACUUGAAAGACAAUUUAUGCAUAUGCAUCCUUGCAUACAAAGAAUUUUCCUAGAAUUCUCUAAUAUUGAGCAUUCUUCUGUUAAGCGUGCUGUUACUAUCUUUUUGGCUCAUGAGUUUAGAUUUAUCAUAAGAGAGGCCAAAGAAAUCUUUGUGCACUAUAGGGUGGACGCCGGUCGUCCUCCCAUAGAGGCAAUCCUCUAUGAUCAAGAAGAAUUUAGACGUUUUCAAUCUUCGGACUAUGUCGCUUUUAAUGAAAACCUUAGAAAAAAAGGUUCCUACCAAUGUCUUGGUUGAUUGCAUUAACGAACUUAAUAAUGAUUUUGCCCUUCGAAACAAUGAGCUAGGAUACUCUCUUGAGUAUAGGCUCACAAAAUUUUGCCAAAAGAAUGCUUUUAGUAAUGAAAUAGUUGUGCACUAUGAAGGGCCAAAGGAGGAACCCAUUCCUCCUGUGAUUGAUCUUGGGGACCUUUGCCCCACUAAUUUUAGCCCUUUUGAUUACUUUUGCUUCCCUCAAAGAAAAGUUGCUGCCGAACGUAGAGAAUAUGAGAUGAGCUUUCAAGAUCUAUCUUAUUAUUAUGGCACCCGUUAGAUCUAUCUUUGCUUUUAAGCCUAGCUAGGGGCGUUAAACGAUAGCGCUAGUUGGGAGGCAACCCAAUUUUUCUUUAUGUUUUUUGUUUUUGCUCCUGUUUAGUAAUAAAUCUUGCAUCUACCUUCUGUUUAGAUGUGUUUUUAUCUUUUAAUUAGUGUUUGUGCCAAGUAGAACCUAUAGGAUAACCUACGAUGAUACUUGAUUUGAUUCUGCUGAAAAACAGAAACUUUGCACGCACGAAUAUAAUUUUGUUAAAUCACAGGAACGUGCUUUUGCGUUGAUUCUUUUUUAUGCUGUUCAAUAAACAAAUUGUCCAAGACUUCCUAUUUUGGUAGGAUUUUUAGAGUUCCAGAAGUUUGCGUUAGUUACAGAUUGCUACAGACUGUUCUGUUUUUGACAGAUUCUGUUUUUUGUUUUUUGUUUGCUUAUUUCAAUGCAUCUAUGGCUAGUAAAUUAGUUUAUAAACCAUAAAUAAGUUGGAAUACAGUAGGUUUAACACCAAAAUAAAUAAAUAAUGAGUUCAUUGCAGUACCUUAUGUGGUGGUUUUGUUUUCUUUCACUAACGGAACUUAUAAGAUUUCCUGUUGAGUUUUGUGUUGUGAAGUUUUCAAGUUUUGGGUAAAGCUUUUAUGGACUAUGGAAUAAGGAGUGGCAAGGGCCUAAGCUUGGGGAUGCCCAAGGCACCCCAAGAUAUUCAAGAAUAGCCAAAAUCCUAAGCUUGGGGAUGCCCCGGGAAGGAAUCCCCUCUUUCGUCUUCGUUCAUUGGUAACUUUACUUGGAGCUAUAUUUUUAUUCGCCACAUGAUAUGUGUUUUGCUUGGAGCGUCGUGUAUUAUGUUAGUCUUUGAUUUUUUGUUUACCACAAUCAUCCUUUCUGUACACACCUUUUGGGAGAAGCCUAUUUGAUUAGAAUUUGCUAGAAUACUCUAUGUGCUUCACUUAUAUCUUUUGAGCUUGAUAGUUUUUGCUCUAGUGCUUCACUUAUAUCUUUUAGAGCACGGUGGUGUCUUAAUUUUGAAGAAAUUGCUAGUCUCUCAUGCUUCACUUAUAUAUUUUUGAGAGUCUUUUAGAACAGCAUGGUAUUUGCUAUGGUCAUAAAGUUGGUCCUAGAAUGAUGAGCAUCCAAGUUGGGUAUAAUAAAAACUAUCAUAGAAAAAGAAUUGGAUGCUAUGAUCAAUUUGAUGCUUGAUAAUUGUUUUCAGAUAUAAAGGUAGUAAUGUUAGGGUCAUGCUAGUGGGUAAUUAUGAAAUUGAGAAAUACUUUUGUUGAAGUUGGCAAGUCCCGUAGCAUGCACGUAUGGUAAAAGUUGUGUGACAAAUUUGUUGCAUGAGGUGCUCUUUUGAGUGUCUUCCUUAUGAAUGGCAGUCGGGGAUGAGCGAUGGUCUUUUCCUACCAAUCUAUCCCUCUUGGGGCAUGCAUAGUAGUACUUUGCUUCGAGGGCUAAGUAGGCUUUUGCAAUAAGUAUAUGAGUUCUCUUUUGACUAAUGUGAGUCCAUGGACAUAGGCACACUCAUCCUUUUUUUUACGUUGCUAGCCUUUAUUAUUACCGCGCAACUUUCGCCGGUAUCAUAAACCCCUUAUUUACCUUCCUCAAAACAUCCACCAUACCUAACUAUUAUGGCAUUUCCAUAGCCAUUCCGAGAUAUAUUGCCAUGCAACUUUCCACCGUUCCGUUUAUUAUGACACGUUCCAUUAUUGUCAUAUUGCUCUUUGCAUGAUCAUGUAGUUGACAUCGUAUUUGUGGCUAGACCACCUUCAUAAUUUUCAUACAUGUCGCUCUUGAUUCAUUGCAUAUCCCGGUACACCGCCAGAGGCAUUCAUAUAGAGUCAUAUCUUGUUCUAGCUUUGAGUUGUAAUUCUUGAGUUGUAAAUCCAUAAAAGUGUGAUGAUCUUCAUUAUUAGAGCAUUGCCCUAGUGAGGAAAGGAUGAUGAUGGCUAUGAUUCCCCCACAAGUCGGGAUGAGACUUCGGACUUUACAAAAAGAAAAAAAAAAGAGAAAGGCCAAAAAAAAAGAAAGGCCAAAGAAAGAAAAAAAGAAAAAAAGGAAAAAAAAGGAGAGAAAGAAAUAAAAAAAGAAAAAAAAAUAAGAGAAAAAGAGAGAAGGGACAAUGCUACUAUCUCUUUUUCCACACUUGUGCUUCAAAGUAGCACCAUGAUAUUCAUGAUAGAGAGUCUCCUAUGUUGUCACUUUCAUAUACUUAGUGGGAAUUUUUCAUUAUAAAACUUGGCUUGUAUAUUCCAAUGAUGGGCUUCCUCAAAAUGCCCGAGGUCUUCGUGAGCAAGCAAGUUGGAUGCACACCCACUUAGUUUCUUUUGUUGAGCUUUCAUAUAUUUAUAGCUCUAGUGCAUCAGUUGCAUGGCAAUCCCUACUCACUCACAUUGAUAUCUAUUGAUGGGCACCUCUAUAUAGCCCGUUGAUACGCCUAGUUGAUGUGAGACUAUCUUCUCCCUUUUUGUCCUCACAAACACCACCAUAUACCACCAUAGUGUUAUGUCCAUGGCUUACGCUCAUGUAUUGCGUAAGAGUUGAAAAAUAUGAAGCGCGUUAAAAAGUAUGAAACAAUUUCUCGGCUCGUCAUCGGGGUUGUGCAUGAUGGGAGUAUUUUGUGUAAUGAAAAUGAAGCAUGGCCUAACCAUAUGAUUUCGUAGGGAUAAGCUUUCUUUGACUAUGUUAUUUUGAUAGGACAUGAUUAUUUGUUAGUAUGCUUUGAUGCAUUAUUAUUUUUAUGUUUUAUAAGCUUUUAUUUUGAAUCAUUUGGAUAUGAACAUUCAUGCCACAAUAAAGAAAACUACAUUGAGAAUUAUGCUAGGUAGCAUUCCACAUCAAAAAAUUCCUUUUUAUCAUUUACCUACUCGAGUACGAGCAGGAAUUAAGCUUGGGGAUGCUUGAUAUGUCUCCAACGUACCUAUAAUUUUUUAUUGUUCCAUGCUAUUAUAUUACCCCUUUUGGAUGUUUAUGGGCUUUAUUUUACACAUUUAUAUCAUUUUUGGGACUAACCUACUAACCGGAGCCCCAGCUCGUAUUGCUGUUUUUUUUCCUAUUUCAGUAUUUCGAAGAAAAGGAAUAUCAAACGGAGUCCAAACGGAAUGAAACCUUCAGGAGCGUGAUUUUUGGAACGAACGUGAUCCGAAGAGCUUGGAAUGUAAGUCAACUGCUAAUACUCAAGAAUAUUCUUUGGCUCCCCUUGUGUCGAAUCAAUAAAUUUGGGUUGAAUACUCUACCCUCGAAAGUUGUUGCGAUUCCCUAUACUUGUGGGUUAUUAGAGUGCAAGUCAAGAAGCAGCCGAGGAAGCCACGAGAUAGGAGGCCGCCCCCCCCCCCUGUAGAGGGCGCCCCUGUCUCGUGGGCCCCUCGGGCGGCCACCGACGUACUUCCUCCUCCUAUACAUACCUACGUACCCCGAAAACAUUCAGGGGCACCACGAAACACAAUUUCCACCAUCGUAACCUUUUGUAUCUGCAAGAUCCCAUCUUGGAGCCUUCGCCGGCACUCUGCCGGAGGGGGAAUCGACCACCGAGGGCUUAUACAUCAACAUCCUUGCCCCUCCGUUGAGUUGUGAGUAGUUUACCACAGACCUACGGGUCCAUAAUUAUUAGCUAGAUGGCUUCUUCUCUCUUUUUGGAUCUCAAUACCAUGUUCUCCCCCUCUCUUGUGGAGAUCUAUCCGAUGUAAACUCUUUUUGCGGUGUGUUUGUCGAGAUCCGAUGAAUUGUGGGUUUAUGAUCAAGUUUAUCUAUGAAUAAUAUUUGAAUCUUCUCUGAAUUCUUUUAUGUAUGGUUGAGUUAUCUUUGCAAGUCUCUUCGAAUUAUCAGUUUGGUUUGGCCUACUAGAUUGAUCUUUCUUGCCAUGGGAGAAGUGCUUAGCUUUGGGUUCAAUCUUGCGGUGUCCUUACCCAGUGACAGAAAGGGUUGCAAGGCACGUAUUGUAUUGUUGCCAUCGAGGAUAACAAGAUGGGGUUUAUAUCAUAUUGCUUGAGUUUAUCCCUCCACAUCAUGUCAUCUUGCUUAUUGCGUUACUCUGUUCUUAUGAACUUAAUACUCUAGAUGUUGGGGAACGUAGUAAUUUCAAAAAAUUUCCUACGCACACGCAAGUCAUGGUGAUGCAUAGCAACGAGAGGGGAGAGUGUUGUCUACGUACCCUCGUAGACCGAAGCGGAAGCGUUGACGCAACAUAGAGGAAGUAGUCGUACGUCCUCCUGGUCCAACCGAUCCAAGCACCGUUACACCGGCACCUCCGAGUUCUUGACACACGUACAACUCGAUGACGCACCCCGAUCUCCGAUCUAGCAGAGGCGCGGGGAGGAGUUCCGCCAGCACAAUGGCAUGGUGAUGAUCUUGAUGUUCUACUGUCGCAGGGCUUCGCCUAAGCACCGCUACAAUAUGACCGAGGUUUAAUCUUGUGGAGGGGGGCACCGCACACGGCUAAGGAACGAUCUCAAUGAUCAACUUGUGUGUCUAUGGGGUGCCCCCCGCCCCCGUAUAUAAAGGAGGAAGGGAGGAGGAGGCCGGCCCAAGGGGGAGGCGUGCCCUAGGGGGGCAAACCUACUCCAAGUAGGUUUGGCCCCCCUUUCCUAUUAGGAGUAGGAGAAGGAAGGAAGAGGGGGAGGAGAGAAGGAAAGGGGGGGCCACCCCCCCUCCCAAUUCGGAUUGGGCUUGGGGGGGGGGGCGCCCCCUCCCUUGCUCCUUCUCCCUCCCUUUCACUAAGGCCCAAUAAGGCCCAUAUACUUACCGAGGGGUUCCGAUAACCUCCCGGAACUCCGAUAUAAUCCCAAUCUCAUUCGGAACCUUUCCGGUGUCCAAAUAUAUCCGUCCAAUAUAUCAAUCUUCAUGUCUCGACCAUUUCGAGACUCCUCGUCACGUCCGUGAUCACAUCCGGGAUUCCGAACAACCUUCGGUACAUCAAAAUACAUAAACUCAUAAUAUAACUGUCAUCGAAACCUUAAGCGUGCGGACCCUACGGUUCGAGAACAAUGUAGACAUGACCGAGACACGUCUCCGGUCAAAAACCAAUAGCGAGACCUGGAUGCCCAUAUUGGUUCCUACAUAUUCUACGAAGAUCUUUAUCGGUCAAACCGCAUAACAACAUACGUUGUUCCCUUUGUCAUCGGUAUGUUACUUGCCCGAGAUUCGAUCGUCGGUAUCCAAUACCUAGUUCAAUCUCGUUACCGGCAAGUCUCUUUACUCGUUCCGUAAUACAUCAUCUCGCAACUAACUCAUUAGCUAAAAUUCUUGCAAGGCUUAAGUGAUGUGUAUUACCGAGAGGGCCCAGAGAUACCUCUCCGACAUUCGGAGUGACAAAUCCUAAUCUCGAAAUACGCCAACUCAACAAGUACCUUUGGAGACACCUAUAGAGCACCUUUAUAAUCACCCAGUUACGUUGUGACAUUUGGUAGCACACAAAGUGUUCCUUCGGUAAACGGGAGUUGCAUAAUCUCAUAGUAACAGGAACAUGUAUAAGUCAUGAAGGAAGUAAUAGCAACAUACUAAACGAUCAGGUGCUAGGCUAAUGGAAUGGGUCAUGUCAAUCAGAUCAUUCAACUAAUGAUGUGACCUUGUUAAUCAAAUAACAACUCCUUGUUCAUGGUUAGAAAACAUAACCAUCUUUGAUUAACAAGCUAGUCAAGUAGAGGCAUACUAGUGACACUCUGUUUGUCUAUAUAUUCACACAUGUAUUAUGUUUCCGGUUAAUACAAUUCUAGCAUGAAUAAUAAACAUUUAUCAUGAUAUAAGGAAAUAGAUAAUAACUUUAUUAUUGCCUCUAGGGCAUAUUUCCUUCAGUCUCCCACUUACACUAGAGUCAAUAAUCUAGAUUACACAGUAAUGAUUCUAACACCCAUGGAGUCUUGGUGUUGAUCAUGUUUUGCUCGUGGAAGAGGCUUAGUCAACGGGUCUGCAACAUUCAGAUCCGUAUGUAUCUUGCAAAUCUCUAUGUCUCCCACCUGGACUUGAUCCCGGAUGGAAUUGAAGCGUCUCUGGAUGUGCUUGGUUCUCUUGUGAAAUCUGGAUUCCUUCGCUAAGGCAAUCGCUCCUGUAUUGUCACAAAAGAUUUUCAUUGGACCCGAUGCACUAGGUAUGACACCUAGAUCGGAUAUGAACUCCUUCAUCCAGACUCCUUCAUUGGCUGCUUCCGAAGCAGCUAUGUAUUCCGCUUCACACGUAGAUCCCGCCACGACGCUUUGCUUUGAACUGCACCAACUGACAGCUCCACCGUUUAAUGUAAACACGUAUCCGGUUUGCGAUUUAGAAUCGUCCGGAUCCGUGUCAAAGCUUGCAUCAACGUAACCAUUUACGAUGAGCUCUUUGUCACCUCCAUAUACGAGAAACAUAUCCUUAGUCCUUUUCAGGUACUUCAGGAUGUUCUUGACCGCUGUCCAGUGAUCCACUCCUGGAUUACUUUGGUACCUCCCUGCUAGACUUAUAGCAAGGCACACAUCAGGUCUGGUACACAGCAUUGCAUACAUGAUAGAGCCUAUGGCUGAAGUAUAGGGAACAUUUUUCAUUUUCUCUCUAUCUUCUGCAGUGGUCGGGCUUUGAGUCUUACUCAACUUCACACCUUGCAAUACAGGCAAGAACCCUUUCUUUGCUUGAUCCAUUUUGAACUUCUUCAAAACUUUGUCAAGGUAUGUGCUUUGUGAAAGUCCAAUUAAGUGUUUUGAUCUAUCUCUAUAGAUCUUAAUGCCCAAUAUGUAAGCAGCUUCACCGAGGUCUUUCAUUGAAAAACUUUUAUUCAAGUAUCCCUUUAUGCUAUCCAGAAAUUCUAUAUCAUUUCCAAUCAAUAAUAUGUCAUCCACAUAUAAUAUUAGAAAUGCUACAGAGCUCCCACUCACUUUCUUGUAAAUACAUGCUUCUCCAAAAGUCUAUAUAAACCCAAAUGCUUUGAUCACACUAUCAAAACGUUUAUUCCAACUCCGAGAGGCUUGCACCAGUCCAUAAAUGGAUCGCUGGAGCUUGCACACUUUGUUAGCUCCCUUUGGAUCGAUAAAACCUUCUGGUUGCAUCAUAUACAACUCUUCUUCCAGAAAUCCAUUCAGGAAUGCAGUUUUUACAUCCAUUUACCAAAUUUCAUAAUCAUAAAAUGCGGCAAUUGCUAACAUGAUUCGGACAGACUUAAGCAUCGCUACGGGUGAGAAGGUCUCAUCGUAUUCAACCCCUUGAACUUGUCGAAAACCUUUUGCAACAAGUCGAGCUUUGUAGACAGUAACAUUACCGUCAGCGUCAGUCUUCUUCUUGAAGAUCCAUUUAUUCUCAAUUGCUUGCCGACCAUCGGGCAAGUCAACCAAAGUCCAUACUUUGUCCUCAUACAUGGAUCCCAUCUCAGGUUUCAUGGCUUCAAGCCAUUUUGCGGAAUCUGGGCUCACCAUCGCUUCUUCAUAGUUCGUAGGUUCAUCAUGAUCUAGUAGCAUGACUUCCAGAAUAGGAUUACCGUACCACUCUGGUGCGGAUCUUACUCUGUUUGACCUACGAGGUUCUGUAUUAACUUGAUCUGAAGUUCUAUGAUCAUCAUCAUCAUCUUCCUCACUAGUUGGUUUUGACGUCACAGAAACCGGUUCCUGUGAUGUAUUAUUUUCCAACAAGGGAGUAGGUACAGUUACCUCAUCAAGUUCUACUUUCCUCUCACUCACUUCUUUCGAGAGAAACUCCUUCUCUAGAAAGGAUCCAUUCUUAGCAACGAAUGUCUUGCCUUCGGAUCUGUGAUAGAAGGUGUACCCAACUGUCUCCUUUGGGUAUCCUAUGAAGACACAUUUUUCCGAUUUGGGUUCGAGCUUAUCAGGUUGAAGCUUUUUCACAUAAGCAUCGCAUCCCCAAACUUUAAGAAAUGACAACUUUGGUUUCUUGCCAAACCAUAGUUCAUAAGGUGUCGUCUCAACGGAUUUCGACGGUGCCCUAUUUAAUGUGAAUGUGGCCGUCUCUAAAGCAUAACCCCAAAACGAUAGCGGUAAAUCUGUAAGAGACAUCAUAGAUCGCACCAUAUCAAGUAAAGUGCGAUUACGACGUUCGGACACACCAUUACGCUGUGGUGUUCCGGGUGGCGUGAGUUGCGAAAUUAUUCCACAUUGUUUUAAGUGUAGACCAAACUCGUAACUCAAAUAUUCUCCUCCACGAUCAGAUCGUAGAAACUUUAUUUUCUUGUUACGAUGAUUUUCAACUUCACUCUGAAAUUCUUUGAACUUUUCAAAUGUUUCAGACUUAUGCUUCAUUAAGUAGAUAUACCCAUAUCUGCUUAAAUCAUCUGUGAAGGUGAGAAAAUAACGAUAUCCGCCACGAGCCUCAACAUUCAUCGGACCACCUACAUCUGUAUGUAUGAUUUCCAACAAAUCUGUUGCUCUCUCCAUAGUACCGGAGAACGACAUUUUAGUCAUCUUGGCCAUGAGGCACGGUUCGCAAGUACCAAGUGAUUCAUAAUCAAGUGGUUCCAAAAGACCAUCAGUAUGGAGUUUCUUCAUGCGCUUUACACCGAUAUGACCUAAACGGCAGUGCCACAAAUAAGUUGCACUAUCAUUAUCAACUCUGCAUCUUUUGGCUUCAACACUAUGAAUAUGUGUAUCACUACUAUCGAGAUUUAUCAAAAAUAGACCACUCUUCAAGGGUGCAUGACCAUAAAAGAUAUUACUCAUAUAAAUAGAACAACCAUUAUUCUCUGAUUUAAAUGAAUAACCGUCUCGCAUCAAACAAGAUCCAGAUAUAAUGUUCAUGCUCAACGCUGGCACCAAAUAACAAUUAUUUAGGUCUAAUACUAAUCCCGAAGGUAGAUGUAGAGGUAGCGUGCCGACUGCGAUCACAUCGACUUUGGAACCAUUUCCCACGUGCAUCGUCACCUCGUCCUUUGCUAGUGUUCGCUUAAUCCGUAGUCCCUGUUUCGAGUUGCAAAUAUUAGCAACAGAACCAGUAUCAAAUACCCAGGUGCUACUGCGAGCUCUAGUAAGGUACACAUCAAUAACAUGUAUAUCACAUAUACCUUUGUUCACCUUGCCAUCCUUCUUAUCCGCCAAAUACUUGGGGCAGUUCCGCUUCCAGUGACAAGUCUGCUUGCAGUAGAAGCACUCAGUUUCAGGCUUAGGUCCAGACUUGGGUUUCUUCUCUUGAGCAACAACUUGUUUGCUGUUCUUCUUGAAGUUCCCCUUCUUCUUCCCUUUGCCCUUUUUCAUGAAACUAGUGGUCUUGUUGACCAUCAACACUUGAUGCUCCUUCUUGAUUUCUACCUCCGCAGCCUUUAGCAUUGCGAAGAGCUCGGGAAUCGUCUUAUCCAUCCCUUGCAUAUUAUAGUUCAUCACGAAGCUCUUGUAGCUUGGUGGAAGUGAUUGGAGAAUUCUGUCAAUGACGCUAUCAUCCGGAAGAGUAACUCCCAGUUGAAUCAAGUGAUUACAAUACCCAGACAUCUUGAGUAUGUGCUCACCGACAGAACUAUUCUCCUCCAUCUUGCAGCUAUAGAACUUAUUGGAGACUUCGUAUCUCUCAAUCCGGGCAUUCUUCUGGAAUAUUAACUUCAACUCCUGGAACAUCUCAUAUGCUCCAUGACGUUCAAAACGUCGUUGAAGUCCCGGUUCUAAGCCGUAAAGCAUGGCACAUUGAACUAUCGAGUAGUCAUCAGCUUUGCUCUGCCAGACAUUCUUAACAUCGUCAGUUGCAUCAGCAGCAGGCCUGGCACCCAGCGGUGCUUCCAGGACGUAAUUUUUCUGUGCAGCAAUGAGGAUAAUCCUCAAGUUAUGGACCCAGUCCGCGUAGUUGCUACCAUCAUCUUUCAACUUAGCUUUCUCAAGGAACGCAUUAAAAUUCAACGGAACAACAACACUGGCCAUCUAUCUACAAUCAACAUAGAUAAGCAAGAUACUAUCAGGUACUAAGUUCAUGAUAAAUUUAAGUUCAAUUAAUCAUAUUACUUAAGAACUCCCACUUAGACAGACAUCUCUCUAGUCAUCUAAGUGAUCACGUGACCCAAAUCAACUAAACCAUAAGCGUCAGGUGAACAUCUUAUGUUGAUCAUAUCUACUAUAUGAUUCACGCUCGACCUUUCGGUCUCGUGUUCCGAGGCCAUAUCUGCAUAUGCUAGGCUCGUCAAGUUUAACCUGAGUAUUCUGCGUGUGCAAAACUGGCUUGCACCCGUUGUAGAUGGACGUAGAGCUUAUCACACCCGAUCAUCACGUGGUGUCUGGGCACGACGAACUUUGGCAACGGUGCAUACUCAGGGAGAACACUUCUUGAUAAUUUUUAGUGAGAGAUCAUCUUAAAAUGCUACCGUCAAUCAAAGCAAGAUAAGAUGCAUAAAGGAUAAACAUCACAUGCAAUCAAUAUAAGUGAUAUGAUAUGGCCAUCAUCAUCUUGUGCUUGUGAUCUCCAUCUCCGAAGCACCAUCAUGAUCACCAUCGUCACCGGUGCGACACCUUGAUCUCCAUCGUAGCAUCGUUGUCAUUUACGCCAUCUAUUGCUUCUACGACUAUCGCUACCGCUUAGUGAUAAAGUAAAGCAAUUACAGGGUGUUUGCAUUUCAUACAAUAAAGCGACAACCAUAUGGCUCCUGCCAGUUGCCGAUAACUUCGGUUACAAAACAUGAUCAUCUCAUACAAUAAAAUAUAGCAUCAUGUCUUGGCCAUAUCACAUCACAACAUGCCCUGCAAAAACAAGUUAGACGUCCUCUACUUUGUUGUUGCAAGUUUUACGUGGCUGCUACAGGCUUAAGCAAGAACCGAUCUCACCUACGCAUCAAAACCACAACGAUAGUUUGUCAAGUUGAUGCUGUUUUAACCUUCGCAAGGACCGGGCGUAGCCACACUCGGUUCAACUAAAGUUGGAGAAACUGACACCCGCUAGUCACCUGUGUGCAAAGCACGGCGGUAAAACCAGUCUCGCGUAAGCGUACGCGUAAUGUCGGUCCGGGCCGCUUCAUCCAACAAUACCGCCGAACCAAAGUAUGACAUGCUGGUAAGCAGUAUGACUUAUAUCACCCACAACUCACUUGUGUUCUACUCGUGCAUAUAACAUCAAACCAUAAAAACCUAGGGUCGGAUGCCACUGUUGGGGAACGUAGUAAUUUCAAAAAAUUUCCUACGCACACGCAAGAUCAUGGUGAUGCAUAGCAACGAGAGGGGAGAGUGUUGUCUACGUACCCUCGUAGACCGAAGCGGAAGCGUUGACGCAACGUAGAGGAAGUAGUCGUAUGUCCUCCUGGUCCAACCGAUCCAAGCACCGUUACUCCGGCACCUCCGAGUUCUUGACACACGUACAACUCGAUGACGCACCCCGAUCUCCGAUCCAGCAGAGGAGCGGGGAGGAGUUCCGUCAGCACGACGGCGUGGUGACGAUCUUGAUGUUCUACUGUCGCAGGGCUUCGCCUAAGCACCGCUACAAUAUGACCGAGGUGUAAUCUUGUGGAGGGGGGCACCGCACACGGCUAAGGAACGAUCUCAAUGAUCAACUUGUGUGUCUAUGGGGUGCCCCUCGCCCCCGUAUAUAAAGGAGGGAGGGAGGAGGAGGCCGGCCCAAGGGGGAGGCGCGCCCUAGGGGGGGCAAACCUACUCCAAGUAGGUUUGGCCCCCCUUUCCUAUUAGGAGUAGGAGAAGGAAGGAAGAGGGGGGAGGAGAGAAGGAAAGGGGGGCCCGGCCCCCCUCCCAAUUCGGAUUGGCCUUGGGGGGGGGGGGCGCCCCCUCCCUUGCUCCUUCUCCCUCCCUUCCACUAAGGCCCAAUAAGGCCCAUAUACUUACCGGGGGGUUCCGGUAACCUCCCGGAACUCCGGUAUAAUCCCAAUCUCAUCCGGAACCUUUCCGGUGUCCAAAUAUAUCCGUCCAAUAUAUCAAUCUUCAUGUCUCGACCAUUUCGAGACUCCUCGUCACGUCCGUGAUCACAUCCUGGACUCCGAACAACCUUCGGUACAUCAAAAUACAUAAACUCAUAAUAUAACUGUCAUCGAAACCUUAAGCGUGCGGACCCUACGGUUCGAGAACAAUGUAGACAUGACCGAGACACGUCUCCGGUCAAUAACCAAUAGCGGGACCUGGAUGCCCAUAUUGGUUCCUACAUAUUCUACGAAGAUCUUUAUCGGUCAAACCGCAUAACAACAUACGUUGUUCCCUUUGUCAUCGGUAUGUUACUUGCCCGAGAUUCGAUCGUCGGUAUCCAAUACCUAGUUCAAUCUCGUUACCGGCAAGUCUCUUUACUCGUUCCGUAAUACAUCAUCUCGCAACUAACUCAUUAGCUGAAAUGCUUGCAAUGCUUAAGUGAUGUGUAUUACCGAGAGGGCCCAGAGAUACCUCUCCGACAUUCGGAGUGACAAAUCCUAAUCUCGAAAUAUGCCAACUCAACAAGUACCUUUGGAGACACCUGUAGAGCACCUUUAUAAUCACCCAGUUACGUUGUGACGUUUGGUAGCACACAAAGUGUUCCUCCGGUAAAUGGGAGUUGCAUAAUCUCAUAGUAACAGGAACAUGUAUAAGUCAUGAAGGAAGCAAUAGCAACAUACUAAACGAUCGGGUGCUAGGCUAACGGAAUGGGUCAUGUCAAUCAGAUCAUUCAAAAAUGAUGUGACCUUGUUAAUCAAAUAACAACUCCUUGUUCAUGGUUAGGAAACAUAACCAUCUUUGAUUAACAAGCUAGUCAAGUAGAGGCAUACUAGUGACACUCUGUUUGUCUAUAUAUUCACACAUGUAUUAUGUUUCCAGUUAAUACAAUUCUAGCAUGAAUAAUAAACAUUUAUCAUGAUAUAAGGAAAUAGAUAAUAACUUUAUUAUUGCCUCUAGGGCAUAUUUCCUUCACUAGAUGCAUGCUGGAUAGCGGUUGAUGUGUGGAGUAAUAGUAGUAGAUGUAGGCAGGAGUCGGUCUACUUGUUAUGGACGUGAUGCCUAUAUACAUGAUCAUGCCUAGAUAAUCUCAUAACUAUGCGCUUUUCUAUCAAUUGCUCGACAGUAAUUUGUUCACCCAUCGUAAUACUUAUGCUAUCUUGAGAGAAGCCACUAGUGAAACCUAUGGCCCCCGGGUCUAUCUCUUAUCAUAUUUGCUUUCAAUCUACUUUUAUUUGCAUCUUUACUUUUUGCAUCUAUAUUAUAAAAUACCAAAAAUAUAUUUAUCUUAUCAUACUAUCUUUAUUAGAUCUCACUUUGGCAAGUGGCUGUGAAGGGAUUGACAACCCCUUUAUUGCGUUGGUUGCGAGUUCUCAGUUUGUUUGUGUAGGUGCAUGGGACUUUUGAGGAGCCUCCUACUGGAUUGAUACCUUGGUUCUCAAAACUGAGGGAAAUACUUACGCUACACUUGCUGCAUCACCCUCUCCUCUUCGAGGAAAACCAACGCAAGCUCAAGACGUAGCAGGGGCAUGCUCAACCAAAACGUCUCGCCUAGGCAUGUGUAGAGCAUCUAAAACCGGACCCCCAUAUCAGCCCCAAACGCCUUCAUCAACUAGAUAGGUGUAGCGACAGUUUGUUUCUUAGACGGCGGGUUUAGUCUUACUGUUGUAUGACUUUGUAAGGUCUUGUGAUAAUAAUUAAUAAAGUGGUCGUAUGCAUGGCCCAGAUGCAGAGGCCGGGGUCAUCCUCUUUUUCUAAAAAAAAUACCAGCCCCAAACGCCUGGGCAGGUUGCCCGAUCAGUGCACAAACUCAAAAACGCACCCAACCACGCCUUGCAAAUCCGGUCUAAAUACCCGGACUGGCUGGCACUUCCCAUAGCCAGCCCAUAUCUGGCCCAUGGCCCACCCGACCCCAUAUACAUUGGACCCUAUCCACACUCCGGAUGAAACCCUAGUCAUAUUCACUCCCCUCCAGUCCAAUUCCCUCCGUCCACAAGCUCUUGUCCGACGAUCUACACCCUUAUCCAACAUGACAGGCAGUGGAACCGAGUCUUAAACCUCUCAAUCUGUUGACCCGGAGCUCAUCCCACGUGGGCUCGAGGAGGAGAUGGUCAUCUGACUCCAUCCAGUGGGAAUCCUUUGUGUUCGCCCAAAUGGCACAUGGAUGCGGCCCAAGGGUAGGUUUCGCUGCCUCGCGGAGGAUGUGCGGUCCGUGUAGCGUCCGAACGACAUGGCGGAUGCGCAACCCCUCAGUUGGUGCUCGGAAUCGGAGGUGCACAACCUCUUCACGUUCGACACAAAUAUGGUGUCGUGUGAAGCAGCGGGGGCGGGAGGCCGUGGCAGGCUGGCCGCCCUCACAGCAGAUGCGGCGAGGCGGAGUCGCACUCUCCGGCACCGUGUAUGGUGCAUGACAACCCUUGCCGCUGCAAACGCAUCAUGGUGGACGUGACCGGUUCCGACCACGACGAAUCCAUCAUCUCGAUCCUCACAUCCACCGGCGACAUGCAGGGCACGAGCUCUAAUGAGGAAGAAUGGGGCAUGGGAGACGGCGACGCUUCGAGUCCUGUGAGCCAGUGCGUGUCUCAUGUCCUAUUCUACCUCGCCGGUGACCCCACCAACACUUCGUGGGGCGCAGCCGGCCAUUGGAUAUGGACAUGGCCGGAACAACACGAACAGUCGCAGGCAAAAAUGCAAAGUAGUUUUACGUUUCAUGUAAUCUUAUGGAUGUGAUGAUUUGCAAAUGGGCCAUCCGGUUAUGGAAAAAAAAAUUGUGUGCUGACCGGUCAUUCCUUGGACAUGCUCAAAAGCAUAUUAGUUCAGAAAGUAAUAAGUAUGAAGCCUGUAACUAAUUCUGAAUUUUUACAUCAAUUUUUUUUUUCUGAAUUUCUCCUCCCGGGCUUCCCUCUCCUUCCUGUUGCUCCAUUGGGCUCCUCUUUCAGAAGCACAUUCAGUAGAAGAAAAAAUUUGAGUAUGAAGAAGAACCAUAUUUAAGAUAUAAACAGCAAAAUUCAGUACAUGCCAAAUUUAGUAGCUUCAGAAAUUUAUAAGAUUGAUACACAUCAUUUUGGGCUGUGCUCAAGAACAAUGCUACAAACUAUACAAUUUAAGAUUGGUUUUUGUACCACCAAAUCUCCCUAAAUCCAUAUUAGCCAUGAAUUUUCUAUCUGUCUUAGUAUCCUUCAUUCAUCGAUAGGAUGCAGAGGUGUCCAGGUUUUUAACUGAAGAAGUCCAAUUUAUGGACUGAGAAACUGAAGACGUUCUACUUCUUUCUUCAGUGACAAGAACGACGCGUCCGGAAUUAAAACAGCUGGAUUAACAGCGCGUGAGAUUGCCGCAGCCGAGCUCGAGUUCGAUCCCAGUUCCAAUUCAACCGGCGACAGCUCCAAUCCGAGUUGGGCAAGAAUUAGGAGCUCUCCCCUGAAUAAAUGGGCGGCGGCGGUGGGAGGAGCAGCUCCAGUUCGAUCUGCUCGCCCACCUUCCCCAUCUCCAGACCUAGGCACGCCAUCGAUGGCGGCCAAGGUGCUCCAGCUCCGCAGCACCGACGGCAAGGUGCUCGUCGCUCCGGCGUGGGACUAUCGCCCGGCCACCGCCCAAGCCCGCCCGCUGGAGAUGCGGGUGCCAUCGCGCGCCCUCGAGAGGGUGCUCCAGUACUGGACCAAGCACAGCCUGGCCAAGGCCACCGGUGAGUCCCGGGAGUCCCUCGCCCGCUGGGACGCUGACUUCCAGCGCCGUCUCGAGGAAGACGGCCUCGCCAAGGAGGCCGCCGCAGCCGCCCAAGAACUCCGCCGCCACGGCAUCCACCAUGGAGGGCGUCCCCGUCGCCACGCCGGCACGGGCGCAUCUGGUGUCGCUGCUCCAGCCACCGCUACCCGUGCUGAUCCCGUCCGUGCCUGGUGCCAACUCGUUCACCACCUCAAGGGUGUCGACCACGGAGAACCUAGCCCAGCGCCGACGGUGCCCAUCGCUUUCCAUGCCUCUGCCGUCGCCGCGCGCCCUGGGCUUGCCACCACCUUGCCGGCCGCUGCUGGUGCUCAACCCAUUGGUGUCCGGUGCGCCAUCCGUGCCCGUGGACGCCAGAGGACUGAAGACGAGGAGUCCGCUUGCCACCACCGCAAGCUCACGGCUUCCAAGGCUUCCAAGCCUCGCUCUUCGGUCUGCCUGCCUGCCACUGCUGCUGCGCCCGUGAAGAAGGUCUCUCGUCAGGUCGCUUCCAAGGCUUGCUCUUUCGUCGGCUCUACACCACUGCCUGCCCCUGCCACUGCUGUGAAGAAGAUGACUCCAGCAGCUUCAACUCUGCGCGCAAGAAGGGGGAUGGGGGAGCUCAGCUGCAAGGUUCCAAAGCAAAACCAAUCGCCAUUGCCUGUCAUUGCUGUUGCAGCACCAAUGAAGCAACCAAUUCCUUGGCUACGUCCAGUGGUAUUACGCCUUCCCUAGUAUUUUAGUUGCUUCCUAAACCAUGCACACAUAAGUUUCAUUUAAUCUUUGCAUCUCUAGGUUCUGCACUUGCUUACCAAGAUUUCUAGUGUUCUUUGAAUCCCGUUCAGUCAUUAGUAAUUUUACUAGAGUGUCAGCAGAGUCUCCAUCUAGUCUAGGCAGCAAAAACCUUGUUAAGAUGUGUACGACAUAGUUACCACUGCAUCCAUACCUGGUCCUAAGUUAAGGGUUUAAGUAAAUAAAGGGCAUUUUCAAUAAAUCAAAGUAAGCAGAUGAGCCUAAAAAGGAAACUCAUGUACUGCAAUUCCGGCACGAGACAGAGCGUAAAACGCACUCGCCGCAAAAUCCAAAACGCCUGUUUGCUACCCGGCUUGUAGCAGGAAAAAAGGAGUAGAAUUGAACUUGUCGAUACACACGUAAUCUUGUGAGCUGCCUAGCGUUUGGAGACUAUGCUGACUCUCCUGUAAAAUUAAUCUUGGCUGACUUGGAUUCUUAGGCAUUGGCAUCAUGGUGAGUUAAGUUGCAGUUUCCGACGAGUAACAUUGGUUAGUGAACUCUUGUGUGUAUGUGUGGGUGAAGCUUUGAGCUAAGCAAGUCCUCAAUGUACCGACUAUCAAGUCCUUGAUGUACCGACUACCAAGUCAUACUGUAAUCAGUUUUCAGAUAUGAAUGAAAAAUUGUUGGGCUGAAUUUGAGCAGAGCAUUUGAG
rnacentral:lncRNA from 1 species